rnacentral:lncRNA from 1 species
ACCUUCUUGAAAGUUGAGGGGCUUAGAACUGGCUUUGAUAUCAGUUUGUUUGAAAGAAUGAUACGACAGAAAAGGUUCAGAAAUAGUUAAGAGAGAGAGAGAGAGAGGGUAUAAAGGCUUCUUAGACAAGCAAAGUUCAAGAUAGUUCUAUGCUGGAGAGACUCUUGCCCACAGAGUUGCAAGGGAAAAAAGCCACACAGCUACCAACAUUCCACUGUGCACAUAUGUAGAUAUCUCCACAAUAAGCAUGAGAUUAGACAACAUUGACACAUCCCUAAUCAUAAUAAUCUUUUAGGAUGGGUCAGUCCAAAUCAAGGUUACGAGAGAAUAAAAUAAAUUAGCAAUAAUAAUGACUUAUUGUGGUACUUCAUCAAUAUUGAAGAACAAGCAAACAACAAACAUUGUCCUUCAUUUUUUUAACUCUCAAAUUUCAAUAAGCCCAAUGCUUUUACACUUUUUUCUUUUUUUUUUUUUGAGAGAUAUGUAGCAUACUAUCCGCCUAGAAAUGUAAAUCAACUAGAAUUCGAACUUGGGUCUCGAGUACCAACCACCAAACCCUUUGCCACUUGCUCUAGGGACGGUCGGUAAUGCUUUUACACUUGAAUAUUAAAAAGUUCUAUACAAAUGAGAUACGGUUACAUUUGCAAGACUACUUAGCUUAGCUAGAGUUUUUGUGGAAGAGCGCUUCUGAAUAAAGCUAUCGAAUAAGCAUUAAUAAGAUAUUUUCAUCAGAUUCACUCCAGAGGUUCUCACUGUAACAAAAUUAGAAGCGUUGAAUGAGAAUUCUCCCUUUGCGAUUCACAAACUUAUUUUAACCUUUUGACACAACAAGAAAUGCAUGCUCUAAACAUUUUGUUUACUGAGAAAGUUUCAGUUACUAUUGUUUCAUCAAUAAAGCCAUUACAAAGCUCUAAAAGCUUCGAUGUUUGGAUUUUUUUGGUCAAAUUUAAAUAAAGCAGGUCAAGUGCAAAACUUCAAGACAUGCCUAACACAAGACUUUCCCUCAACACACUCUCACCACAUACACACACAUAUAUACACACACACACCCCAUCACUACACCAAGGAACUUAGACAAGCAAUUAGUGUCCAAGGAAAGGGGAAAAAAAACCAAAAGGAAAGGAGAAAAAAAAGAAGAAACAUGGCCAUGAAGAGAAACGCAGCUGUGAAGAGAGCAGUGCAAGUGCUCCAAAGAAGCAUAUCAUGCUCUAAAAACAGGAGCCCAUUUCUCUCCAAUGGCAUAGUCCCGAAGGAUGUGAAAGAGGGCCACUUUGUAGUCAUAGCAGUGUGUGAUGAGAAGCCCCCCAAGAGAUUUGUGGUCUCCUUGAGCUGCCUCUCCCACCCUUUGUUCCUGAACCUCCUCGAGCUCGCCGCCGACGAGUUCGGGUUCCGGCACGACGGCGCCCUCGCGGUCCCGUGCCGACCCUGCGAGUUCGAGAGGAUCAUCAACCAGAUGUAACGGAUCAUGAAAAUGAGGAGAGGAUCAGGAAUGAGGAUUAAUGAUGAGUUUAUGUUGUAUAGAUAUAUAUAUAUAUAUAUAUAUAUAUAUAUACAUGUUCUUCACUGUUUUGAGCACAUUUAGUAAUUAGUUUUGGUAUUGAUAAUAUAUGUUCCAUGCAUGUUGCAUGGACUAGAUUAGAAAUUAUUAACAUUUUAAACUACUGAUCAUUGUAAUAGGUUAAUAUGCGCAUGACUCAAUCAGAGAAAGUUAUAUAUAUUGUUUGAUCAGUUGAUAUCAAUAAUUUAUUUUUGUUUUUAUUUUGUAUGCGUCCCCUUAAUCAGGGACUCGAUUGUAAAGUUUGAAAGAAUUAGAGAUCAAACAAAAUAUAAAAAAAAGUCAUAAAUUGUUUGGAUGUAUGGAUUGCAAUGCUUAUUACGCGAAGAGAAUUAAAAAUAUACGUAGACACCAUGUAUAUAAUUUACACUCACUUUUAAGAUAUAUGAAUAGUAUUGCUUAUUACGCGAAAAGAAUUAAAAUGAAACACCGCCAAGUAUAGCAAAUUUUGACACGAACACGUUAACUAUUUUUUUUCAAAAAUAAAUUUACAUUUAAUAGUUGUCCACACCUUUUCAACUGAUAUAAUUGAUAAUUUCAUUAAUUCUAACCAUUAUUAUCACAAAAAUCGUUAAGUUUAAUAUAAUUUUGAAUUAAUUCGAAAGAAUAACUCAAAAGUUAAUGUUUUCACAAAGUUGAGGGGUGCAAUUCAACUUGUCUAUAGGUGAGGGGGUGUCUGUAUAUUUUACAUCCCCUCUUACCCUGCGCCCACUCCCGACCUUUUUUCUUUUCCGUGGAUUUUUUUUCCCCUUUCUAAAUCUCACUCUCAGGUACGUCUUAGGGUUCUAAUCGAUCGAAAAUCUCCUCUCUACUUGCUAAUUUUUCAUAUUCGGCAUCAAACAUUUAAUUUUUACCUGCAAAAUUGCUCUACGAAAUCGAAUACUACACCUAAAUUUUCCUAGAGCGACCUAAAAUUUAGAAUCGAUUGAUUAAAUAGUUGAGAAAAAUUCUCCUUGGAGAUCCUUACUACAUUAUUUGAGUACCAAUUUGGCAAAUUUUGCAUUCUAUAAAUGAAAAAUUGCAUCCUCUUACUUAUGUUUCUGAUCCUUAGGGGAUGAGUUUUAGUUGUUGAAUACGUUUGUUUGUUUGUUAUCUUUUUGAUUUGUUAUUUAAUUAGCUCGAUUGUGAUGAAGCUUUGUUUUCUGUUGUAAAACGAUAUGAAAUAAACGUUGUUCUCAAAAACCUUAAGCUACUAACGAAUGCGUGUAGUGUGUAGAGGAGGGGAAAAAAUAAGGUGAUUUAGUCUAAAAGUGCUAAUUUUGAAAUAGACCAUUCAAUUAUUUUUCAAACUAUUCUUGUGAUGGGUCACUGUUGAUUUGCUUAAACCAAUUGAAAUUAGUAGUUUCAACUUCACUAUGUUAUUCCGAUUUGCUUCCGACCAGUAGAGAUUCAUCAACUGGAGUAUUUUGUUGUGUGGCUUAUGAAAUACUGUAAAUAACAUCUGCGACUGUAACGAUGGUCGAUUGCUUCAUUCUUGGUUAUGUAGAAGGCAAUACAUGCAUGUUAAAACUAUCAUUGUAACCAUGUACAUAAAAAUAGUGAGCACGCUCGUUGAAGUCCAUGUUUCAGAUGCACAACAGAUGAAUCUUUUUAUCAUUCACAUCAAAGCUUAAAAAAAAAAAAAGCUUGAUCUUGUCCUUCACCUCUUUUGUGAAGUGUUCCUGCAAGUGAAAAGGCAUUAAUCAUUCUUGCGUUUAUGAAUUUCUAAUGCAUCGUCGCCUUUUUCUUCGUCAAAUCCCUCCACUACAAGCCCUUUCAACGCUCCGAGCCCCUAAUAUUUUCACGAGUUCGUUAGGGUGACAAGGAACAACAAGUACCCCUGCUUGUUUGAACCCGAAUUCUUCCUCUGCCGACUCCAACACUUUGAGGAACUCGGGUUUUGAGAGGUGAGCUACCUCCACAAUGAACCUCUGAUACUUCUCAUCUUUAACGGCGUGAACUGCGAAAUGCCCUUCCUUCACAUCUUCAGGGACUCCACCGUCAGAUUUCAGGAAAACUCUUCUUUUAAGCUUUUCCAUCACAUUUUUUAGCUUGACCAUGGCUAAUAGUUGUGGAUAUUGCUUUGAGCUACCUUUUGGGUUUGAUUUGCUUCAUUCGCAAUCAAAUGGUUGUAUUUAUACUGCUGAAACAUGAAUCUGAGGCAUUUUAAUUAUCUGACCUUACCGGGAUAAUAAUGUUCACGUGGGCGGUCUAUUAGUAAAGAGAGAAUAAGAAGCUAGUAAGUGCAUCCAACGCAGGUUAGGCGAAGUUGCAUGAAAAACUUAUUGAGAUUACUUGGACACAUGCGGCAGAGUCCACUUAUGCACCAAGUAGGGGUGAUUUCGUUCAAAUUGAUGCAAAUCGGAGAAAGUAGUAAAAAGAGGUAUGAUAACACCUAAUUUGCCAAAUAAUCAUACCAUAAAUAGUGUUGUGUGGAAAAAGGGUCCUUAUAGAUGACCCAAUAAUUUAAAUGCUAAAUGCUAAAUGCUUAGUCUUUGUUGUCGCUGUUGUUGCUGUUGUAUUAAGUAGACAAUCUGAUUUCCAGCUUUAUCAUAGCUUUGAAUGGACAAUAUCUUCAAUUUUCCUCUAUCAUUGGUGAACUUCCUAAAGCUUUAGACCAAACACCAAAGUGAUAUGUCGAUUCUUCUAGUUGAGAGGGGAGUUGCAACAAUUGUCAAAACUGCUGUUAGAAACAGCUAGCAGUCAAUUAUGUAUGCUUGCUUGACACUAAUUCUUGAUUAGGUUUGCAGUGUCUCUCCUGAAAUAAAUGCAUUUGCAUUCUCAUAGGUGUAAUAACUAAAAGGAUAGGGAGAAAGUCUUUUCUCAUUAAGAACAGAAACCUUACAUGAGGGGUUCCUGAGGAGGUAGGUAUGUCGAGCUAAUGAGCUUUUCCAUAUAUAAUCCAAAAAAGUAACAUAAGCAUAUAUUCCUGCAGAAUCUGAAUCUUCAUAUGUGCCCCACCUACAUGUUAUUCAAAAACACCUUUAAGAUGAAGAGAGAUUGAAAUUCAUACUGGGAAGUUUUUUUGUUAACUGUUAAUUAAUUAAGUUUUUGAAGGGCGUACAUGAAAUUGUAGAUACGUAACUUUGCUGGGGUGUAUACAUGUAAGCAGAUAUGUACAUACGUGAUUUUGCAAGAAAGGAGGAAGUGUGAGGGCAUGAUAUUGCAGGAAAGGAGGUUAGGUUUCGAGUCCUAACUCGUCUCCAAUGUUUCUAUCUCUAUCGGUUGCUUCUUUACACUUUCAAAGUUUGAUACCUUUCAUGUACUGUAUUACUUAUGUAAGAGUUGUGCCGAUAAGUUCCCUUUUAGGACAGUUAAACCAUUACAAAAGCUGGUAUAUAUAUAGAUCCAAAUUAUAUUCAUGUGAAUGUCAUGUGAUGUGUUUAUAUCUCUACCUACAUGACCAUUGAUUUUCUUGCAUCUUAAUAUCAUCUUUACAAUAAUCUGUGCAAAUACCAGAAGAUGUAUGAACUUUUUCUUGUUAUGAACUUCUAGCACUCUGGAGUUACCGGAUGACUUUUCUUCCAAUUUCUACCUGCUUUUACUCAUUACAUCAAACUGAAUAAUUUAUGAAUGACAAUCUUGAUGCAAUUUUCACAUGCUAUGUUUUCGUAUAUCAUAUCUCUUGUACCUCUAGUAGUACAUUUAACUCUGUACAAAGAUGCAGGGAUCGCAACUAAGAUCAGAAAUAAUGCUAUCAGAGAGCAAUCUUAUCUAACCUGUUUGGCUCCACUUCUGCUUCCAUUCUCUAUACUUGUUAUUUCUAAUAGAGUGUUUGACAAACAGAAAUGUCUAUGGCAUAAAUAAGAUUCGCAGGCCCAAAAAAGGAGAAUCUUCAAAUAUUCGGAGCUUCUGAUUCUGCUCAAUAGUGCUCCUUCUAAAGGCACUUAUCGGACAACACUUCAUCGAACAGCAUUGCACCGUACAGUAGAGAAGGUAAGCAUCUUAAACACCUAGCAUUUUUAAGUUGCAUAAGACUUUUGAAUGCUCAGAACACCUGUAUUAUCUGUGACCUAACUCCAUGUGAGGGUUCUUUGAAAUAAGUAGCCAGUGUGACAUCAUUGAACUGCGCAGUUCAUUCAUUUCUCCUUGUGGGGAGGUAUUGCAUUAUCCCAGUUGGCUACCUAAUGAAGUGCUUGGCUACAUGGUGGAAACAGUUGCAACAACCAACAAACAGAGCAUGGGGCUACAUGUUUCGCGAGACGGUUAGAUCAGCUUCUCUAUUUCGAAAAGCAAAAAGUGUCGAGCAUCUAUAAAAUGAACAUUUGGAUUCGAAGUUUGAGGCAACUUUUGAAUAGACAUUAUUUAUGUCUGUUAAAAUUGGAGAAAUUGGAUGAAACUUGUAUAAGAUUUCUUCUAAGAAAUCAAAUUAUGAUUACCGUUUAGUUAAUCGUGCAUUAAUAUUGGAGUUGUUAGCGCAUAUUUUUGGCGGUAAAAUUAAGUAUAUAAAAAAGUUCAGGGACUAACUUGCAGUUCUUGGAUAAUACAGGGGCCAACCAUUAUAGUUUAUCAUGUCAUGUUACGCAAUUAAAAUUUUCCAUACUCAUUUUAUUACGCGGAUAAAAUGAGUAUGGAAAUUAAAAUCCCACUAUUAUUAUUAUUUUUGAGAAUUGGAUCUACCUACGGUCCAUUCAUCUGGGAUUUUAAUCUAAAUUUUUUUUUUAGAAUUAUUAAAUCAAAUUAUUUUUUCUAAAUUUAGCAUUUUAUCAAAAAAAAAAAAAAAUUGUUUUGUUGUGUUAAUAUGAAUUUUCCCCUCACAAUCCCAAGUCAAAGAGGUAAACCAUUCUUCUGGGAGCAGGUCACAAAAUACCGAUUCCAAUCUGUGGACCAAGCCGAACGAAUAUAAAAAUAAUAAAAUAUAUAUUUCAUUUUUUUUAUAUUUAUAUAAAAUAAUAAAAAUGUUUUUUAAAAUAUUAUUUAUCAGAAAAUCAUCAUAUUAUUUUUACAAAGUAUAAUAGAAUUUGCAUAUUAUGAUAUAGCUUGUAUGGUAUAAUUGGUUAAAAAGAAAAAAAAAAAAAAAAAAAAAUGACUUUUCUUUAUUCCGUGUUCUUAGUAUCACAAUUAAUGUAAAUUAUUGCUAUUAUUAUUAUUGGUUACUAUUAGUCCAAGUAAUUAGUUGUGAUUAUACUUUUUAUUAUUACUUAUUGCAUUAUUAUUAUUCUGAUUCAAACUCUUGCAAUUGGGUUUUUAUAGUUUACAUUUUUUGCACAUGACGUCAAACACCACCUCCCAAAACCUUAUUCAAAAAAUUUCUUUAUAUAUAUAUAUAUAUAUAUAUAUAUAUAUAUAUAUAUAUAUAUAUAUAUAUAUAUAUAUAUAUAUAUAUAAUCUUAUAUAUCCUCUUUAAGUUGUAUGAAGUUUUCGUCUCCAUCCAUUUUCGACGUUUCCGGUUCGUUCUCUCUCUCUCUCUCUCUCUCUCUCUUCUUCUCUCUCUCCCACCAAAACCCUAACUCCUCGAUCCAAAUUGAACUCUCCCCUUCGUCCAAUUCUCGUCCCUUCGCCCUACGAUCGCAGCAAUGGACCCUACGACCGACGACGAGGAGGCGGGGAUCUCCGGCGUCGGCGGCGGCGGCGUACGCGGCGAGUCGUCGGCGGCGGUGGAGGCGGCGGCGCGGGUGGUCCCUCGGCGAGCGCGAGGUCCGAUCCCUAGCCGCGCUCCGCGGCGCCUUGGUCUCCGCCAAGGAUCUCCUCCGAUCCGUGUACAACGGGAGUAAGAUCUAUCAGGUAUAAGCUAUUCCUCUCUAUUCCUUGUUCUUUGUCAUCAAUCGCCCUCUUUUUUCCCUUUUAUUCGUCGUAUACAAAGUCGGGGAUACCGAAAUUUUCUAUAAGUUCGUGUUAAUGGGAUGAUUAAUGUUGAGUCAAGUUUAUUGAGACUAGUUUUUGGUAUUGAUGGGUCAGAGAGCAUUAUAAAUGUAGGAAUUAGGUAAUUUGAUUGUUUCAUUUGAUUAUGAUUGUGAUAAUCGCCAUGCUAUUUUGGAAACAUCUUUUAAUCCUUUUAAUUCUUUCUCAAUUGUUAAUUACUGCUACUAGUUUUGUUACAUGAUGAUCCAACUGAGUGCUGUUAAAGUGCACUUUUAUAGGAAGAUUAGAUCAAAAUUUGCUUUGUAUCCGAGUCAAUCUUCCUAGAAUAAUAUGCCCCUUAUUUUUCAAUUUCAUAAUUUCAUCCCUUGAUUAUGCAGAGUAUGUGUGCCACACACCAUAACUUCGCAAUGAUAAUUUGGAGUCAAUAUUUUGAUAUACAAGGACUAGCCCCUGUUAGUCUUAGUAGCUUGUGCUAGAAACACUUUGGGCCAGUGUUUGGACUCAAUAGUUUGCUAUUAUACUAAUGGAUUAGUUUGGUUUGGUACAAUAUAAGCUUUGUCGGAGCAGUUUCGUUUGAUAUUUGUAUAGCCUAUAUAAUAGGAACGAUUGCCUGGAAGUGUUAAUUUUGUUGAUCCUACUGCACUUUUAUGAGCUUUGGGUCCUACAUUCGGUUUUCCUCAAGUCAUAUUACUAUUGUUCUAUUUCAGGCACUACAAAGAGAAAACUUUGCCAGCAAAUUCCUAGAGGUGAAUGAGAAAAUUGAGAAAGCACUGGAUGAUUUAUCCUAUGGCAACCUUCAUAUCUCUGAAGAAGUUUUAGAGCAGGUAAUCUGAAUUGUAACAAUUCUCAAGAGCAUUCAGGCAUAAGCUAAAAUCCGUUCGUUCUUAUUUCCUUGAGAAAAUACAGUUCGUCUUUUGAAAAAUUUGUGGUAAAAUUUAAUAUUUGAUCAGUUGCAUUGCAUGCCUUGUCUAACCCAGUAAUAUGUAUUCUUGGUAGUACAUGAUUAAGCUUUUGUGGAAGCUUUUGUAGUUUCGCCGUCUAAAUUUGCUUCACUGUUAAAUGGGCAACUUAUGAUCACGAAUGUUUCAUCACUUUACUAUGAAGAAUUGGUAUAUAAACUGAUAUUAUCAUUUAAUUGUACCUUUGACUACCAUUUAUUAAUUGAGAGCCAACAAAAAUUACUAUUCUUUCCUACCUAUGCAGGUUGAACUCGUGCACGCGCAGUUUCGAAGAGCAAAAGUGACAAUGGACUCUCCCGAUCCACAACUUGUUGGAGAUUUAUUUUGCGCAAAAGUUGAAAAGCCCUGCGACAAUCUUAUCCUUAAAAGAAUUUCAGAAAAUUUGCAACUGAGAACAAUGAACGACAUGAAGAAAGAGUCAGUUGCUCUACAUGAAAUGGUGAUUUCAAGUGAUGGUGUUCCAGAUGAGUGCCUUGAAGAAAUGUCAUCCUUGCUAAAGAAUCUUACGGACUGUGUAUUAGAUGAGAAUCCGACUUCUGAUACCGUCCAAAGCAAAACUAGCCCUAUAAAAAAUACAUCUCCUGUUAUUCCGGAUGAGUUUCGAUGCCCCAUAUCUCUUGAGUUGAUGAGGGACCCUGUCAUUGUCUCCACUGGACAGGUAUGCAAUACUUUUAACUUUUAUGCAAAUUAGAAUGCUAGCUGAACUGGUGCUCUGGCUCCCUGAGUAGAACUGCCUGAGUAGAACUGUUUUGAAAAUCUACUAGUAUCUUUUCCAUAAAGAUCCUCCUGACAGUUUCAUGCUGCACUAUAAACAGAAGGUUUAAGCUGAAGCUUCUGCUUUUGAGCUCAAAGGCUCAUUACAGAUUUCAGCCAUGGUAGAAGAUCCAGAUUCCAGACUAUUUUGUUUCUCAAAAGGCUGUUGCUUCUCACUGUAGAGAGGUUGUUCCCGAAGUUAGGCCAAACAGGCAUUAACACCUAAUGGAUUUCGUUUUCCUGAACAUGGUGUGCUAAGAAUCAUUUAAGCCCUUCACUUACGUUAGGGUCUUAUAAGCCAACAGCCAGAUGGUUGUAGUACCUGUUCAAUGCUCUGUUCUAGAUUUGUUCAGCAUUUUUUUGUACUAAAUAUAGAUGAAUUUUCUACAGACUUAUGAGAGGUCCUGCAUCCAAAAAUGGCUCGACAGCGGACACAAGACCUGCCCUAAAACCCAACAACACCUAUCCCACAGUGUCCUCACACCAAACUUCGUGUUGAAGAGCCUCAUUGCGCAGUGGUGCGAAGUAAACGGCGUUGAACUGCCGAAGAAUAAUAAAUCAGGCCACCGAGACAAGAAACAGGGGAAAGCUCCAGACUGUGAUCGUGCUGCUAUCCGCUUGCUAAUGCAGAAAAUAGCAAAUGGCAACAGCGACGAGCAAAGGGCGGCCGCAGGUGAGCUCCGAUUGCUUGCAAAGAGAAACGCAAACAACAGAGUAUGUAUUGCAGAAGCCGGUGCAAUCCCUUUAUUAGUGGAACUGCUCUCUUCUCCCGACCCAAGAACCCAAGAACAUGCCGUCACGGCCCUCCUUAACCUCUCAAUCAAUGAGGAUAACAAGGGUAGUAUUGUAAAUAAUGAAGCAAUACCAAAGAUAGUGGAAGUGCUUAAAAAUGGGAGCAUGGAAGCGAGAGAGAAUGCUGCGGCUACCCUUUUUAGUUUGUCUGUUGUGGAUGAGAACAAAGUAACUAUUGGUGCUAAGGGGGCGAUACCUCCGCUCAUUGAUCUUUUAUGUGAGGGCACCCCUAGAGGUAAGAAAGAUGCAGCGACAGCGAUUUUUAAUUUGUGCAUAUAUCAAGGAAAUAAGGUGAGAGCAGUGAAAGCCGGAAUUGUGGAUCACUUGAUGAGGUUUCUGGCAGAUUCGAGCGGUGGAAUGAUCGAUGAGGCACUCGCGAUUUUAGCGAUUUUAGCGAAUAAUCCAGAAGGGAGGGCCGCAAUAGUACAGUUGCGGCCUGUCGGCAGCUUGGUUGAGGUGAUAAGGACGGGAUCGCCGCGGAAUAAGGAGAAUGCUGCGGCGGUGCUGUGGUCUCUGUGCACGGCAGACGCGGCGCAGCUGGCCGCAGCGAGGGAGGUAGGGUCGGAGGAGGCGCUUAAGGAGUUAGCCGAGAUGGGGACGGAGCGCGCCAAGAGGAAAGCUGGGAACCUUUUGGAGCUCAUGCGCCAAGCAGCGGAGGCUUAAGUGUGCUCAUGCAUGGGGCAAAAUCAAGCAAAGCUGUUUGAUUUGAUUCUGUAGUCAAAAUGGAAGAGAAUAAAACUGGCUUGUAUAUGAUAUUUAAAAUACUGUAGCCUGAACAAGCUUCGUAAGAUUUGUUGGUGUUUCGAGAAAAGAGGAAUCAUAGAAUGGGGAAAAGAUUGUGUAAUAUAGAUUGUAGUGCGUAAUGUAGAUUUGGUUAUUGGUUAUGAGAUGUUGUAUGUAUAUGUUAUUUAUUGUGAGAAGAAGAAGUUACUAAUUCUCGGAGCAGAUUUCAAUUGUUUAUUAAAAACCUUUCCAAGAAAAUGUUUGAGAAGUAGGCCUCCUGAUGUCUGUCCGUGAAUUCAAUUUUGUAAAUAAUUUAUCUUCGAAAUAUUCUUUGCUUUGUCCUCUUUUAGUCACCAAAAAGAUUCACCCUUCUACCCAUGAAAUAUUUUGAGAAGAAAAUUGCUACUUGCACAAACAAACAUAAAGUGGGAUAUAAAUUUAGAUGUUUUUAUAUUAGUGUAAAAUAUUAGUCCUCGAAUGAAACAAGUAAUAUUUACACUCUUUAGAUGUUUUUAUAUAGAUGUGGCAAGAUACAGAUAAAGAAGAUACAUACGAUACACACAGAUGACGAGGUAGUCUGAUACGAUACGAUACGAGACAUAUAAAUACGCGCCAUGAAAAUCAAUCACCAUGACGCAGGUAUAUAACGAGCGAACAUAACCAACUCACCUCAUUCUCUCUCUAGGGAGAAGGAAGGAGAAGGAUAGAAAAAGGCUCUCACUCAUGCAACCCGGCCUUGCUCCUGAGAUGCUCCUUGAACUCCAUAAUCCCACCCUCCCACCUCGUCACCGCCUGGUUCGCGCACACCCAAAUCUCCUGCGCCACCUGACUGAUCAGCCUGAAAUCAUGGCUCACCAGAACCAGCCCCCCGUCCCACUCGUUCAGCGCCUCCGCCAGCGAGUCGAUCGUCUCGAUGUCCAAGUGGUUCGUCGGCUCAUCCAGCAAAAGCAGAUGCGGCUGCCGCCACGCCAGCCAAGCAAAUAUCACCCUGCUCCUCUGGCCGUCCGACAGGUUCUUCAUCGGCAUCACCUGCGCCUUGCCCGAUAACCCGAACUUCCCUACCGCCGCCCUCAUCCGCUCCUCCCCGUUCCCUGGGUAUUCCUUCAUCAUGAACUGCAAGGCCGACAUCUCCAGGUCGAGCUUCUCCGCCAAGUGCUGGUGGAAUUGCGCGAUCCUGAGGUGGUUAUGCCUUCUAACCAUACCGUCUAAGGGAACCAAGUCCCCGGUCAUAAGCCUUAGCAGAGUGCUUUUCCCCGCCCCGUUGGGGCCCACUAAUGCGAUUCUGGAAUCUAAGUCGACACUGAAAUCGAGGUCCUUGUAUAUAAGGUUAUCGGGGGUGUAACCGAAAGUUACGCCGGCGAACUGAAGGACGGGCGGCGGGAGCUUGCCUACAUCGGUAAAGCGGAAUACUAGUACUCUGUCCUUCACCACCUUUUCAGUGAGCCCGCCACGCUCCAUCUUCACUAGGGUCUUCUCCUUGCUCUGCGCCUGGCGCGCUAGCUUGGCGGACCCGUGGCCGAAGCGGGCGAUGUACCCUUUCAUGGAUGCAAUCUGUUCUUGCUCCCAUUUGUACUGCUUCAUCUGGUUUUCUUCGAGCUCGGCUCGGGUCUGGACGUAUUGGUCGUAGUUGCCGGUGUAGAGCUUCAGCUUUCUGUUCUGCAUGUGGAUGAUGUUGGUGCACACGCCGUUCAGGAAAUCCUGCGAGUGGGAGACAACAACGAGGAUGCGGUCGAACUUCUUUAGAGUCUCUUCCAACCAGACACAUGCUUCCAGAUCUGUAACCAAAAGAAAGAACAAAUGAAUCUAAGGUUUGAGUAGUUAUGGAAAGGCAAUAGCAAACACCGAAAGUUCUAACAGGAAAACAUAUUUGUAAGGCUUUUCUCCAAACAGGAAAAUGAUCCUUAUUUCUGCAGGAAAAUCAAAGAGUAGAGUGCAUGUCUGGAAUGGUAAAAGUGAUGCCAUUAGCAAUUUCUAAACUGGUAUGAGAAAGAGCAAUUCACGAGAAAUAAGAGAAGGUCAAAACCUUAAUCUCCGAGGCACCGAACUAACCUAAAUUUAAGAAUUGAGCAAAAAUUUACGAUUUUAUUGUACUCAUCUUUUGCUUGGCCCCAAUCAGUAUGAUGGCUUCGCCCAAACAAGAGAUGGUAACAACCAGGUCAAUCUCAACCUUACAAGUUCAGAAGUUCAUAUUGCAACAAGCAAAGCUGCAGAACAAAAAAUGUUUCCCAUAUUAACAUGGAUGACUCAAAAAACUCUUACCAAGAUGAUUUGUAGGCUCAUCGAGCAAAAGGAUGGUCGGAUUCAUAAAGAGUGCUCUCGCCAAUGCAAUUCUCAUACGCCAACCACCAGAAAAAUCUCGAGUUUUCUUUGCUUGCAUUUGCUUACUAAAACCAAGCCCGUAGAGAAUUUCAGCUGCACGCUUCUCAGCAGUUGAUGCAUCGAUAGCUUCUAACCGCUCAUAGACCCGAUCCAAGGCUUCUCCGCCACCAUCUUCCUAGAGAAAACAGUAUCAAAAGAAAUCAGAAAUGUUCGAAAUGUUUGAAUGCUGCUUUCAAACAGAAAAUUUUGCCGAGAUGCAUAAGAUUUCUCGUUCAAACAAAUGACUAAAAUACGACCUCAGCUACUAAUCUCUCAGCUUCUUUUUCCAAUCUCAGCCUCUCUUCAUCACAGCUGAUGACUGCUUGGAGAGCGGGCAUGUCCGAAGCUUCAAUCUCCCUGGUAAGAUGAUAAAUAUCCAUGUGUUCAGGAAUUGGGAGCUCUCUGCAUCCGAUUGCUGUGAGAAGUGUGGACUUCCCACAGCCAUUCAAUCCAAGAAGACCAUACCGUCUGAAAUUACAGUAUUCGUAAAAUGUUAUGAACAAAAUGGAAUUGAACUCAAAUGUAACAAAGAAUGGGUAAAUGUGAAUGUUAUACCUCCCGUAGUUGAGCUCCAGUUCCGAAUCUACAAUGAGAUCAUGCCCGUGGAAGGUCAAUGAAAGAGACUCUAUCUGGGGUGUGCAAAAAAUGCAGAGUAAGAUCAGAUGCUAAGAUACAAUCAAAAGAUUAGAUGAUAAAAACAGAAUAUAUGAUAAAAGCAGCAAACAAAGGCUAGAAUAACAAAAUUCAAGUUCUUGUACACUACUGAGAUGUGAAUCUCAACGUGUCAAUAGCCACUAUUCUGCAUUGUGUUCCUGAGUUUACUCAUAGAGCUGGUCUACUACACUGUUCCAUACAUGUAACAAGGGGAUCCCUAUAACAUCUUGACAUAUACAUAUCAGAUAAAUGAGUGAUCAAUGAGUCUUAUUCUUCGGAAAAUCAUCAUUAUAUAAUAUUUAGAAAAAAGAUCAUGAUAACAUAUCAUGAAAUUUGAAGAUUUUCAUUGCAAAAUGAAAAAAAAAAUAAAGAUUUUACCAUAUCUGAUUCCGUGUCAUUCGCUCAUUUGUUUUAGAAACUUGAAGCAUCAAAGGCAAAGAAUUUUUUACUUAAGAAAAUAAUCCCAAAUUCCAUAAACUGAGCAUUAAUACAUUAGAAUUUUACAUCCCACAAAACAAUCAUUUGCUUUCAACUUCUACAGCAUAACACCUCAAAUUUUAACAAAAUUCCUAAAGCAUAACACGAAAUAGAGUACAAAAAUAUAUAGAGACUAACAUGAAUAUCUCUAGAGAGGGGAUGGGAUGCGAGAACUCCCGUGCAAGUGCGAUCCGAUAGCUCGAUCGAUCCAAACCCCUCUGCCAAAUUCUCCGCCGCGACGCCAUUCGGAGCCUGCGCGGCGGCCUUCGCCGACGCCGCCGCCGCCGCCGCCGCCGCUUUACCACCCCUCUUCGCCGCUGCCGCCGCCUUCUUUGCCGCCGCCUUCUUCUUGCUCGCGUCCGACACCAUUCUCCUGCUCACAAAACACACGAAUCGAUCAAAAAAACACUCAAAAUCACUUAAGAAUUCACCGAUCGAAUCGAAGGCGAUCGAGAAACUGCAAACCCUAGAUCAAAACACCUGUAUCGAAGGGAAUUACGCAGAAAAUUACCAAAAAAUGGUACGAAGUCCGAGAGGAACUUGGCGAGAAUCGAUUGGGGAGCGUCGCCAGCUAGGGUUCUAACGAAUCUCUCCAAAUCCCUUCAAUUCGAUUUCAAAUCGAACAAAACUACUCUCUUCCUUUUUCCUAUUUCGCUUUCUCCAACGAGAGAGAGAGCAGAGAAAGAGAGAGAGAGAGAGAGAGGGAGAGAGAGGGAGAGAGACCAACGCGAGAGAGUUCGCUCGCUUUGAGAAACGGGAGCGAGGUCGCAUAUUUAUAACUCUGGGAUUCACUUUUUCGAAAAAGCCCCUCGUUUUUAAUUAUUUAAGUUUACACGUGUCUCUCGGGAUGACAUUCUAUGGUCCGAGUACGCGCAUAGGAAGUUAUGCUGCGGUAGAUAAUCUGAACCGUCGGAUUUGUGCGGAAGCGGAGGUAUGGACGGUGGAUUCGAGAGGGCGCAUAGGGAAGUCGGUGGAAUCGGGGGGUUAGGUCGGUUAGCGGUGUGGUUACGACUUACGAGUGUAUUAGCCCACCUGGAGUGUUUGUGGCCGUUGUAGACCAGUAUAAAGAGUGACAAAGUGACUCGUGACUCGUGAGAACAUAGGAUUUGACUAAAAAAGAUUAUGUUAGGGAUUGAGUGACGUGCACGAGUAUUCAUGAAGGUUUUGGAUUGGAAGUGAGGGAUUUUGUUGUUUGAACUCUUACUUUGAGGGCGUGUUUGCUUCGCCGGAGCCAGAAAAGGUCAGAGGUUACUGCCCUUUACACAACGACAGAACUAGAGCAUUAGUCUAAGAGGGCGCCGCCCCGUCCUUAGCAACUUGUAGGAAAGAAGAUCUUUCUAGCUCUUGACUAAAAUGUUGGGACUUUAGGAGAAACUAGAUCGUAUCUUUUGCCAUAAUUUUGAUUUCUGUACCCGAUUUAUAGGCAGUGAUCCUUGCUCGUGGUUUGUUCUCGUUCGUGAUCUGCAAGAAGACGGAACGUUUCGAGUCUAAUUCCCUUAUCUCCGGAGAUGGAGCCGUCACAAAUAAUUGGAUUAGAGUUAGACCGGGACUCCCGUAUAUUACAUAUUUAUAUAUAAUUUAAUGUAAGGAUAUUAAAUCACUUCCGUCCAUCAAGAACGUGUCCAGAUACAUCCUAACCAUAAGAUCUAUCGUAUUUUUAUAAAUCGACUUAAAUAGAUUGAUUGUAUCUUUAUGGAUCACCUUGAAUAUGUCACGUUGGCCAUAUUCAACAUAAAAUUUUCAAAAAGAUCUCUCAGAAAGAAGAUUUUCCACACUUUUUGAGUAUGGUGAUAGACAAAAGUUGGAAUCGGUGCUUACAGUUCGUACAUCUCCUGCUACUCUCCGCCUCUGAUCUCCAACUCCAAGCAGAUAGGCGAGAUGAAUGAGUUUUGCGACAGAAAUCUAGCUAAACAAACGCGCUCUAGGGAAUUGGAACCUAGGUUGGGUUGCCAAGUUGGGCUUACAAUGUAUAAAUAGCUAUUUCAAAAUUAGUUCUAGCAUCUUUCAAAAUGGGCGGAGCCCAAGCCCAAUAUUUGCUCGGGUGUCCGUUUUAAAAUCCUUAAAUUUGACCAUGAGAUUUCAAAAUUUCAGAAACUUUUAUUUUACUUAAAAACAAAAAACUACUUGCAUCCAGUUUACUUUUAUGUAUAUAUAUAUAUAUAUAUAAAAUUGAGUUAGAAUAUUUUUACAAGUAUUACCCCGAUGAUGCUAUUAGGUUUUUAGCCAUUGAAUCUACUCCUUGAUUACUAAUAGCCCUUGUAUCAAACACUAUUCCACCUACCACCACCUACUACCAUCAUCUCAACCUCACAUCUCUCUAUCCAAUGGCUAAAAUCUCAAAAGCAUCACUCACAUAAUACUUUUACAAGUAUUCUACCUCAACUCUAUAUAUAUAUAUAUAUAUAUAUAUAUAUAUAUAUAUAUAUAUAUAUAUAUAUAUUCGUGUGCUACAUAACAAGAGGCGCUUCGCGGCCUAACUUUUGUAUGUUUGAUCCAAUAGUAGAAACUAUUUUUGAGAGCGAUGAGAAUAAAAUAUGUCAGAUGGAAACAAAAAGUCUGACAUACACAAUGCAAUGAGCGUGGAAAUGAGGAGAUGCACAAGUUCUAGGUUGUACCUUAAUUAUUUCUCUCAAAAGUAAAUGGAAAUAAAGAGCUGAAGGAAGAUGAUUCUAAAACUUUAAUAAGAGUACGUGAACGCAAUUUAUUAGACUGUUUUGUAAUUUUACAAAGAUGAAAAUACAAAUAGUGGCAACUCCAGGGGGUGUUCUGUAUAAUAGCCAUGUCACAUAACAAGCCAUUACCCUACUCCUAUACAUGCAUGCUUUACAUGCGCACAUACAUGCAUCCAUGAGCAGGUUCUCUGUCCCCGCUCCGAAGCGCUACGUGCUCCGCCUCUUCAUCUCACUCAAGUACGUCACCGCGAACGUCGUCGAUCGCCGGAGCGGCCGAGUGGUGGUCACGGCGUCGUCGGUGGAGAAGCCCCUGAAGGAGAGCCUCGAGCGCGGCGGGCGCGCGUGCAACGCCAAGGCCGCCGCCGCCGUGGGCGAGGUCCUCGCCGCGCGCCUCGCCGUCGACGGCCUCGCCCGCGAGCCCAUCUACGCCGACGCCUCCAAGGAGGUGGAGAAGAAGGGGUUCCGGAACCGCACCAAGGUUUGGGCCCUCCUCAACGCUCUCCGAUCCCACGGCGUCAACCUCCGAAUCGAUGACGAGGAUCAAACCCCGCCCCGAUAAGUUUUUUCCCACCUUUUUGAUGAUUUCGUGCUUUAUUUAUGUGUUCGGGGAGAUCGAGUGGUAGGAGAAGUGUUAUAUUAAGUUGAACUGAAGGUGUUUGAUGAAAUGCUUGUGAGGCGUGGAAGAGAUAAGCUUGUGUAGUAUGGUUUAUUUUACGCUAAAAAGUAGUAUUUCUUUUUUAGGGGGAUUUUGUGCCAUAUUUAUGUGUUGGGGGUGAUUGAGUUGUUGGAGUAGUGUUGUAUUAAGUUGAAUUGAAUGUAUUUAAUGAAAUGCUUGUGAGGCGUGGAAGGGAUAAUAUUGUGUAGUAUGGUUUAUUUUAUGCUAAGAGUAGUAUUUAUCCUAUAAUUUUUUGGAAUAUUUUAUUCUAUCUUACAAAUUUGUUGCCAUUAUAAGCCUGUUGUUGUUUGUUGCAAGUUAAGAUGGAUUUUGUUAUCCUUUGCUAAUAUGAUCAAUUAGAAAUAUGAAUAGAAACUAUAUCUAGAAUCAUUGAAUGAGGUACUUAUUGUGAAAGAUGAGUGGAUUGAAGAUGCAGGAUUGUGCCACAUAGAUGAAUCAUAUGGACAAAUUAAUAGUUUCUGAUUGAUUCGUUAUCUUCAUUUUAUCCUCAUUCGUAUUCUAUGUAGGUGUCUCAAUGAAACAUAGUUGCAAAUUUUCCAUAUUUUUUGUGCUUUUUUUGCUAAAUAGACCUUUUAUGGUUAAUGAGAUGGUUUUGUUUGGAUGAGACUUGGAAUCAUCAUGAUGUUGCAUUUGAUAUUGGAAGCCACUCUUUGAGCAAUGCUGAGAUAGAUAAAUGGUGUUUAAUUUAGUCCACGCAAAAACUUUUUUCUCAAGGGUAUCUACACUCUUCGAAGUUCUAACUUUCUUUCAAAUUAAAUUUUAGAUGUCAGAAAUCUUUGUGGAAAAAUGUUUAAUGAACGUGCAGGACACACCAACCGUAGAUUACUCUAUGAGUGUAAUUGCUGCAACACCAUAAGGCAGAUUGACAAGAUUUAGAAUAUAGGUUAGUCGUGCUUCCACGAGAUACUGUAUUUCUAGCCAAAAGAGAUGAUAGUCUACUUUUACAUUGUUAGUUAAUUAUAAUACACCUGAUUGUGAUUUUCUCUUUAGGCUUCCAGGUCCGUUUAAAUUUCCAGUAGAAACUGAAAGAAAAGGAUGGAGAAAGGAACAAUGCUAAAACAUGGUCCCCAAAUAUAAGAGGUAUUCUGUUUUUCAAUAAAGUUUCGGAAAUUUUUUAUAUAGUGGUCAACCUCGCAAACUAGAAAGAAGUUGAAUCAGCUUUUGGAAUAGCUAUCCAAUUCCUGAUUCCUUUAUUUUAAAUUCUUUUGCAGAGAUGAUAAUGGUAACAUAGUAUGACCAAAGUGAUGAUAUAUUGCAUAAACAUGCAAAAUAGUUGAUAUUCCCAAUAAUGAACAUCAGAUCCCCCAAUGUGAUGCCAUAUUUGCAACAUACACUGAAAUUGCUUAGCAGAAUACCUGAACUAUUCUAAGACUAGCUCUAUGGCAAUAAGCUAAUGAUAUAUAAAUGACUACGGGAUAAUAUCAAACCUACUAACAUCCUUUUUACAUAUACCAUUUAUGAUAUUGUUUAUUCUUUAUAUUUUUACUUGCCAACCUUGCAUAUACAUUUGGGUUGGCUCCUAUUUCUUCUGACCCUACAUUAUGAUGAUCUGGAUAAAUGGAAAAUAAAAACUAGCAUGAGAGUCCUCAGCUUUAGCUGAUUCUUUUUUCUAUUUAACUGCAGGGAUCUCUGUCUUUCUUAAUUGGGGACAAAAGUGCCGACACAACCGAACCCCAUGAUGAAGAAAGCUCCGGCUUGGAAAAGCAAGUAGACGUAGAAGUGAUCAUGGCGGAACAUUAUAUUAUAGAUCGCACAGUAGAAGAGGUAUAAUCCCAUGAAUAACUCCAAUACAUGGAUCCUGAUAAUUAGAAGAAAGAGUAAGGUUAGCAUUCGAAAACCUUAUUAGUAUUCUUCUGUUUUGCCUCUAGAAUAUUGAAAUCUACUUAAACCACAAGAGUUAAUCACUUUGUCUCAUUUAGUAGUGUUUCAUUGAGCAACUUCUUUUUCUUUGACGAAUAGGGUAAAAUGUAAGUUUCAAAAUUUUAGGCGAGUGACUAAAUAAUGAUAUAAUUUAACCAUUAGUCAGUACCUUUCUCCAAUGCGAGACCGCGGUCUUCCUAAUUUAGUGUUGGGCUUUGGCUUUCCGGUAGUACCUAGUUUCUCAGUGACGACCCAUUCAUUGACACGGUUGGCCUCUAGAAGCCCAAUAAUCGUCGCCUUUGCUCGAUGUACAGACAUGACAUUCUCAAAGAGGAUCCAAAAGAGCAGCAAAUGUAGGGAUCUGUGCCCAAGAAAAGAACAUUAGAUUUAGCCAUUAUACACUAAUUCUUUAGUGCGUUUUAAGCAUUUGUUCGUGUAUUCCCUGAGGGGCUACUUAUUGCUCUUAUUGUUUGCAACUGUAUUUUUGCUGGUUUUGUUUGACAAAAACCCGAAAAAUAGAGGUAACUUUCUUUUUCUUUUUUAAAUAUUUUGGUAAAGAAAGAUAGAGUUACAUAUUAUCGAACAAUAACAAGAAUUGAGUGAGUUCAUCCUAGAUGCCUUCAACAAUACAAAAUUCAAGAAAAAUAGAGUUACAUAUAAAGCACACUAAGAAGGUAACUUUCUUUUUCUUUUUUCAGUUUUUUGGUAAAGAAAGAUAGAGUUACAUAUUAUCGAAGAAUAACAAGAAUUGAGUGAGUUCAUCCUAGAUGCCUUCAACAAUACAAAAUUCAAGAAAAAAUAAAAACAUAAAAAAGAAAGAAAUUGCCUAGUGCACCUUAGAUUGUGUCAAAUGUUCAUGCUUUUCUUUCUCGAGUAAUUUUUGUAAGCUCGAAGAAUGUAAUGCUAAAACCACAACUUACUAGUUACUGACAGGUUAUCAUAAACAAAGUAUAUAUAAAGCACACUAAGAAGGUUGAGAGACUUAAUUUUGAAUCUUAUUUGUACCUUGGAGUGCAAACAGCAUUAAGGAUGGUGAUGGUCGACGGCACAUAAAUGGCGAUGAAUUUGGGAAGAUGAACUUCGGGGACCAGCACACACGCAGGGAUAACAAUGCAGUAGAAGAUGGAGGUGACGAAGUGCGCGACUAUCUUCCUCACGAAGAAGAAGGCAUAUAUCACGUGAAAUUUCUUCCACACCGAUACCCUCUACAGAAUGCGAUAUCAUUCAACAACAAAAUAUGAGAUAUGUAAAACGAAUUGUUCUACUAGUAAUUAGUACUUGUAUGUUGCUUUAUGUUUUACAAUUUAGCUUACUUUGCAGUUGAUUAUCUCCUUAAACAUCUUUCGAAAUAAAUUCGCAGGACCGCAAGACCACCUAUGUUGCUGGUAUCGGUACGCUUUGAAUGUGCUAGGUAGCUCAUUUUUCACCUGAAGUAUUAUAUAUUUCUUAGCAAAACUUUGUUUUAAGUUUGAUGAUAUAAUUUUAAGUGCUGUACUUACAGAUAAGUCACCGACAAAAACAAAUUUCCAUCCCUUGAGACUGGCUCUAACAGCUAAAUCCAUGUCUUCGACAGUUGUCCGAUCCUUCCAUCCGCCGGAAUCUGCAAGUGCUUGAAUCCUCCAUACUCCAGCAGUUCCUGUUUAAGCAAAGUCAUUUAAAAGUUAGAACUUUUGCAUCUGAACAAUUUUAUAGAAAUGACCUCCAGUUUUUGAGAAAGUGACCAUUGAAUCCAAAGAACGAAUAUGUGGAAGAUCCCACUUCCUGCUCCACACUGAAAUGAUAAUCCAGAGACAUCUCUUGAAGUCGAGUUAGCAGACACUCAUCGGCAUUUACUGCAUUCAAAAAAAAAAAAAAGAUCAUUUCAUUUGUUUCGACAAAAUUUGGUACUGCUUUCCUGUUGAGUUAAUAUGUACGUGCGUGUGCAAAUACUGAUGCAGAUCCGAUACCCGCCAAAAGUCGAUAGCAUCAUAGAAACAGUGAUUAGUGUACCGUAGCCCGACUCAAAGAAAUAAUCUACAAAACUCACCGAAAUUCCAUCGAGCUUGAACCAAGGCAAGUUCGGGGUUACUGAGCAGGAAAGGGACAGUCCUCCAGAGGAAGUCAGGUUCCGGCUGGAAGUCGGCAUCAAAGAUGACGACAUACUCGCAUUCCCUGACGUAAUGCUUCUUCAAUCCGUCACGCAGUGCCCCGGCCUUGUAACCGUUUCUACUAUUCCUUGUUUCGUAUUUCACGUUCACUCCUUUGCUUGCCCACCUCUCACACUCUAACUCCACCAAUUCCUAUUAUUUUGCAAAAUAAAAUAAAAAUCUUAGUAAAAGCAAUUUUAUUUUCAGAAAAAUUGAAGAAAUGAAAACAUUUUCGCAGCACAUUACCCUGAGGAUCAUGUCGGUUGAAUCGUCGAGAACUUGGAUUAUGAUCUUGUCGGAAGGCCACGAGAGACCGCAUGCCGCUCCGAUCGAUAACCGGUAAACCUGUCACAUUUUAGUUGUUUUCUUAAGGUAAUUUUGUUCAUUGUGCAUAAUUAUAAGUUUCUGUUUUUGAGUUUGUGCAUGUAUUUGUAUUUGUUUGUUCAUGGCUAUAGAAGAACACAAAAUACAUGCAUGCAUUUGUACAUUUUCCCUUCCACUUCUUGCGUGCUAUAAACCUGUGGUUAUAAAUGAGUUAAUGGUUUAUCACUUGAAUGGAAUUUGUUUAAAAUAUAGCUAAGAAGGAAGAACUUACAAUAGGCUAUAUAUACUGUACAUUUAUUUGACUUAUUAGUUCGCCUAAUUGCUUUUACUUUUGUUACCAAAAUAUGUAAAUACUACAAAGGAAAACAAUCUUUACCCUCAGCUGUACUUGCCGACUUGUGCUUAUAGAUAGGUUCGCAUUAAACAUUAGCUUUAAUCGCGAGUUGAAUGCGACAAGAUACAACUGUCGGGUAUGCGACACGUUCGAGGGUUAUCAGCGCAAGAAACCCUGAACUCUUGCCAGCUAAAACGAGGUCGUGUCAAAAGGCCGAGGGAUCAAAAACACUUGUCUUGCUUUUAGGUCCUCACUCUAACAGAAUCUCUUUGGCUUCACGCAUCCAUUUUAGAAAGAAAGAAGAGAGAACAACUCGAAGCAAAUUUAGUAAAUAAACAAGAAUAACAAUCUAUGUGCAUCUUAUGUUUAAGCAAAAGGAUUUGUUUGCAAAAGUGUCUUUAAACCAUGAAUUGAUCAUCAACAUACCCUUUUAGUGCCAUCACAUAGCCCCUGUGAGUUGUGAGAUGAUUUCACAUGCAAUUACAUAUUUAAAGAUAAAAUCUCACAAACAAUUUGACCAAAUGUCUCCUUUCUCUAGAUAUAAGUGAUUAAAAGAACCGGUGCAAUGUAACUUAUUCAAAGGAAAAAACUAAGUAAACAUGGACAAUUUCCUUGUUUGUUCAUAAUGACAAUUAUUAGGUGGAAUCUGACUUUUAAAUAUGAUUAUAUUUAGGAACUUUGAGGAAACUAAGUAACUUUCUGUGGCUUUCAAAAAAGAAAAGGAACUUUGUUGGGAGUUUUAGUUGAAAAAAGGAUUAAACUAGGAGCCUUUACCCAAUUUUAGUGAAUCUUGACCACUUUGCUUGUAGAAAGAAUGUAAAAGGUGUUUACUUUAUAUAUGAAAUAAUCAGUUCAAGUACUUUUUAAUCAUAGCUCGUAAUCAUCUUUCUUCUAGCAUGAGUUAAAUUCUACGAACUUUUUAAUUUUCUUUCUCGUUUUUUCCUCUUUUUUUUUGUUUUGCAAGGUACAAACUUUAAAUUGCAUGUAAAAAGAUAUCUGUAUAUCAUGUUUUGUUGCAUGCAUGUAUAUUUCAACUGGACUAUAGUACUACUAAACAUUGAUAAUUGUUCUGUAGUAAGCACUCACAAGAACUCAAAAAAAAAAAAAAAAAUGUUGUCAUAAACCUAAAAAACUUCUACAAUCUUAAUCACUUGCAAAGUUCAAAAACUAUGCAUCAGAAUUAUAUCUAAUCCAUGAUGAUUAAUUAUAAUACCUCUUUUUCGUUGUACAUGGGAAUUUGCACCAGGACCAUGGGGUGGGUGUUACUAGCCUCGAGCUCUUGCUUCAUGGCAUCAAGCUUGUACUUGGUGUACCUCUUCCUCCUCAAGAGCUUCACACAUAUGAUCACCGCCGCCAUGUAGACGCGCUCGACGAAGAGCAUCAGCGACAUGGCGGCGCACACGUAGACCGCCACCUGCAGCAGCGGCGCGACGAUCGGCGCGCGGACCUGCCUCCAUGCAAGCCUUAUGUUCUCACUCACCACUGCUCCAUCUCCUGAGCCACCAAUUAGUACUGGGUCCUUCAACACAAGGUUUCUCAUUGAAUAGAGUGUUGGUGUUUGUGUUUGUGUUUGUGUUUGUGUUUGUGUGGGGAGUGUUGGGGCUUGUGAGGGGUGGUACACAGUUUUAAGGAGUGGGGGUGGAUGAACCAAUAUAUAUAGGCCAGCAAAUGGACAGUGUUUGAAGAGAGAGAGAGAGAGAGAGAGAGAGAGAGAGAAUAUUGCAGCUGUACAUGCUGCACCAUGUCAUUCAAUGCACUGCACUGCAAUUAUUUUUUUUCCAUCUUUUAUCUUAUCUCAUACUUUAAUUUUUAUAAUACAUAUUAUUGUUUUCUAAAUUUAGAAUUUGUUUGGUCCUGUAGUAGAGCAUGUACAGUAUGAUUCGAUAAAUUGGUGCUUGAAUAAGUCAACUAAAAAAUACACUCUAACACCCCAAUAAUCCCACAUUGGAUAAUAUGAGAGAGUGUGACGGGUUUAUAAAUGACGGACACACUAAUAAUAGUAACUGAGUUUAAGUAUUUUGAAUCGCUGAUAAGAAUCUAAUGAAUUAUUAUUACUAGCGAGUUUGAUCGUUCGUACCAAAUUAAUCAACUUACGUUUUUCUUUCUUACGAAACUCUUUAUUAGAGUCUACUAUUGCUAUAAGCAAGAGCAAAAGCAGGACUAAGCAGGUCAGUAAGAGUUAAAGUAAGCCGAGUCAAAUGCUGUGGAGCCCUGAAAUGGCGCAGCGCACGGGAUGACGUGGUGCACCAAGUGCAUGUCAUAAUGACUUAGAGAGAGAGAGAGAGAGAGAGAGAGAGAGAGGAGACACGCUUUGCAUGCAGUGUCAAGGAGCUAGGCUAGGCAUUGCGAAACAAAUGUGGUAAUUAAAGGUGCAGGGAUGUGUGCAUUUUAAUUCCUGCUAACUGAAUCACUUAUUAUCCAAGACUCCUUUUGAGAGUUCCCCAAGUUGUAUUCACACACCCACUCGUUUCCAUUCCUGAGAAUCUCUCAAGAUUGUUAAAUAUCUUCAGUAAAAGAUUCUCAGAUCAUGUGUUACUAGCAUUAUGAAACGAAAUAUUUAGUUUCCAAAUGCUUUCAAUAGUAUAGAUCAAAUCUAACGGAGUCGAUCAUCGAUUUGGAAGUGGCAUCAUUGAAAACAACUUAGUAGCACGGAGGCGUCCGUGCUACCGAUAGUAUAGCAGCUUAGCUAUAUAUAUAUAUAUAUAUAUAUAUAUAUAUAUAUAUAUAUGAAAAAUUUUAUUAAUGAAACUAAGGUAAAAAUAUAUAAACCCUAAUUUUUUUUUUUAAAUUUCUUACGUUUUAGGAUGCACGCGGAAAAAGAAAGUGACGUACCAAAGAAAACAUUCUUUUUUCCAACAAAUAUAUUUUAUUUAAUUUAUUUUACAAAUUAUUGGCUAGACAAAAUACACAGAUUAGUUGUACGGCUCGGAGAGGGCUUGUUUUUAUCCACUUUGUUUUUUAAUAAUGAUUUAAUUAAUUAAUAACUAAUAUUUACUCCACCCAUGGUGACCAAAAAUAAAUAAAUAAAUAAAUAAUAAAAAAGGCACUGAAUCUUAAAUAAUUUUUUAAUAAUUAAAAAAAGGGACAAAAAAAUUAGAAAAUGGUGGGGCCCAGCAUGCCGAAAGGGACGCGACGUUUUUGCGUGGGCAACGAAUAACUGAAAAGGGUGAGCANUAUAUAUAUAUAUAUAUAUAUAUAUAUAUAUAAUUGAGCUAGAAUACUUUUAGAAGUAUCACCCACUUGGUGCUAUUAGCUUUUUAGCUCUUGGAUCUACUCAUUGAAUACUAAUGGUUUUGGAUCAAACACUAUUCCAUCUACCACCACCUACCACUAUCAUCUCAAUCAUACAUUUCUCCAUCCAAAGAUUAAAAAUUCAAAAGCACAAACUUCUUGGUACUUUUGAGAGUAUUCUAGCUCAACUCUCUCUCUCUCUCUCUCUCUCUCUCUCUCUCUAUAUAUAUAUAUAUAUAUAUAUGGUUUUACAACAUAUAUUAAGGGGUCAAAGUUCAAAUUGUUAAGUGCAAAUUGAACCGGAAUUUUGAGACUCAAACUUGGGAUUUCCACUGUGUUUUAUUAAUGCAUGCCUUUUGUGCUUGAAAUAUAUUAAGCUCAGUCGAAAUUUUGGGCAAUUUAAUAUAUUAAGGUUGGGUGAUUAUUUACAUUAAUAGAUGCAGAGCUCUCGAAAACAAUAAAAUUAGCUUGUUCAAUUUUGAUGUUUUAAUAUGAUUUCGUAUUUUUUGGUAGAUCGAAUGUUUAAUGCUAUAUAUUAAAUUCAUUAGCUUUGUCAAUUUUAGAAGCUUCUAUCGUGACACAAUAGUAAAAAAAGAAAAAAAAAAGAAAAAAAAGGGGUAGGCCACGUUUUGCCUACAAAGUAACAAACCUAGCAAAUUAAUCUUAAUUGAUAUUAUUAUGUUAAUUAAAAAUUUUUGUUAUUGAUAGAUCAGGUAGAAUAUAUAUAUGAAUAUAUUUGGUAACAUUUACUUUUCGUGAAUUAUAUUAAUUUUUAAUACAAACCACAUGUCAAUGUGUCAUCAGCAAAACAUCAUUCUUAGUAUCAGCACCCCAAUCUAAGCUCAUCUUUGACUCAUCCUCUGAAACUGUCACCUUGUCUCAAGAGAUAAUAACCAAUCAAGCAUUUGACAAAUAAAAAUUUUAAAACUUGUGAAGCUUUCAAAGUUCUAUCUAAAUUAGCAAUACUUUAGCAAAAGCUUUAAUCAAGCUAAAUAGGUUACGAAGCAUUCUUUUGAUGUAGAGAACAUCUAUCUAAUGCUACUGAACCAAAAAAAAAGUUGGGUUGAAAACAUGAAGAGAUUUGUUUUUCAAUUUUCUUACAGUAACCGAACAAAUGCGAUCUAUACAUGUAACGCAAACUUUUCUUACUCCGAAAUGUAGCCUAAGAGGAAAAAAUAAGGUGUUUUUGAGUAAUCACAAAGCCAAAUUGGGUAAAGUGAUGGCUAAAAGUAUCAUUUUUAUAUCAUAUAAGGUUUAAAAAUUUUAAAACUGUUUUUAAUCUUUUCUUUCUUUCAUACUAUAAAAUUAUAAUUGUAAUCGCCAUUGAAGAAAUUAAGCAUCUAGUUAUAUACUUCUCGAGGUUGCAACUAUAAGUUUAUAGUAAUAAACAAGAAAAAUAUUAUAAACACUUUAUAUUUUUUAGAAAUAUAAUAUUUUUAGCAUCACAUUAUCAAACUACACCUCACACAGCACAAGCCUCACAACUUCACAACUUCACAAACACAGCUCUCUCUCUCUCUCUCUCUCUAUAUAUAUAUAUAUAUCUCUCUCUCUCUAUAUAUAUAUAUAUACAUAUCUCUGAGUUAACAUAGAGAGAGAGAGAGGACAAAAAAUGGGCUGUGCUAUUUAAGGAAGCAUGAGUACAUGUCAAGCUCCGAGAGUAGCUGCUAGGAGAAGCCGCGCUGGCAAAACUUGUCUCCUGCUUCUGCUUUUAUUAAUUGCAUACAAAUUCCUACAAAUAUAAUAAAUUAUAAAUAUAUUUUUAUAAAGUUCAAUUUUUAUAUAUUAGUUUUAUAAAAAUCUAAUAUUUUCAAAUAUAUUCAUCUGAUUUGUUGCCGAUAGAGAAUUAUUUAUAUUUUAACAGCAGAUAAGUAAAAUAUUAAUUUUGUCAUCACAAAUAUAUCCUUCCAAAAGCCACAACAGCUAUAAUCAAGCAGAAGUGUCCUCCCAAAAAAUUUUCAAUGGCCAUCUUCUUUCUUUUUAAAAUAUAACUCAUUUCAUUAUUGUUGCAACCUCUUUUCUCACUCAUUUUUUUCUAAACCUUUUCUUUUGAGUAAAAAAAAAAAUUCAUAAAGAAAAGUGAAUGGAAAAGCAACACGUGUUUGAUAUGGAGGAAGUAAUACGCGUCGUGGAUUAAUAUAGACGAAAAAAUUCUAGUUAUGAAUUCGAAACCUGUAUAAAAAAAAGACUAGAGGAAGAGGAAGAGGAAGACGAAGACGAAGACGAAGAAGAAUCCCACUGUUAGGAUUUUAAUUGAGAGAAAAGGUAUAAUAAUAUAAGAGGAGUAAAAUUAUCAAGUUACCUUAUUGACUAAUUAGGAUUAAAUAUUUAACCUAUGGUUAGUUAAAUUUUUCUAAUGAAUUCUAACGGCAGAAAUAUAUUUAAAAAUAUUAGGACUUUUUGCAUGAACAAUAUAUGAAAGUUUCAAUGAAUGAAGCGGAUAGCAUGUUAUCUUUUUUUCAAAAAAAUAUAUAAAAGUUGAACCUCGUAGAAAUAUAUUUAUAAUUUAUUAUGUUUACAUAGAUCUGUACAUAAUUAACCCAUUACAUAUUAAAAGCACUUUUGUUGCAACUCAAACUCCCCCUGCAUGCACAGUGUGUUACAGCUCAUGCAUGGCUUGGAGAUGUGAACAAAAUGGAUGAGAACGUACGCUUCGACUAUUCUCUUUAAUACACUUAAACCCUCUCCGCAAGAAAAGAUUUGUCGCAGCACCGAAUGGGUUGACCAAAAAGUUCAACCAAUUUCAACAUAUUUAUUUAUGUAUGCGUAUAUUUAUAUACUAACUUAGUAAUCCAUGCAAUACGAGGAAUAAAUAAUUAAAAAAUAUAUAAAAAAAAUAGUAAUAAAAAAAGCGAUAAUGAGGGAUGGGAUUUAUCUUGCCGUUGAACGAAAGUAACAGCGAAAGAAAGAGAAAAAUGAAUAACUUGAGCUGGUUCGAGAUGGAGUCCACAUUCAACUAUAAAAAAAAAAAAGUUAUCAUGUGGCAAUUUUGAGAUAAAUAAUGUAUAGAUAUGUAGAAUAUAGAUAUAGAUAUAGAUAAUUUGUUUUUCAUUUUGAAAACACAAUAUUAAUUCUUUCUUAAUGACGGAGUAAAUAUAUGGAGCAUGUUUACUAUUUAAUUAUAACUAUACAAAAAAUUUGAUCAGAUUAAAUAUAAUUAUUCUAUCAAUAAUAAAAACUACUCUUUUAAUGUCAUUAUGAUUUAUUUAUAAUAUGUAUGUAUAAAGCAGUGCUACUGUGCUAUUAGGAGCACAGCAACUCUUGUGCUUCUAAUUUUAUAACAAUCCAUCAAAUUUGAUGGAUGAUUAGAAUGAGAGAGGGAUGAGAUAUUGAAGAGAAAUUCAAGGAUAAGAGAAAUUGAGACACUCAAUUUAUUUAGAAAUAAACUUAGCUAAAAAUGUGAAUCAAUUAGAAUUCGAACUUAGAUCUCGGGUACUAAUCAUCAAAUUCUUCGCCACUUGCUGUAGGGACGGUUGGUGACUCCUUUUUUUUAAGUUAAGCAUGUAAAAGAUACAAUACUCGCCAGUUUACUCGGGGGAUCUUUCGGUGUAACGCUUGAUGCCUCACUUUCCAUGGUGUGCUUAGCACGUCUUCAGUGUAACGCCUAUAUAUUUCGUGGUCAAUGUGUUUGACAAAAAGAUGACACACACACAAAUAAUUAUCUCAGAAAUUAAUUUAUUGAUGUAAAUUGCACCAUUACUCCUUGAUCAGCUUUAACUCAAGGAUAAUUUAAUAUUCUAAUUUUUUUAAAGUAAUUUAUUGUAUAUAUAUAUAUACAUAUAUUAUUACGAAAAGAGAAAAAAAAAUGUUGCAUGUAAUGUAAAUGGUUCAAUUAUAUAUCAGUAAUUGGGGUACCAAUCAACUGCACUAGAUAUUUUCUUUUGAAAUGCUUAUAUCGAAGUCUAAAAUUCGCAAAAAUAGAAAUUAAAUACUCCAUCACUAAUUAAACGUGAUCAUGAUGCCAUAACGAAUAAGAUGCGUAUAUAUGGAGACUAUUUAAUUACCCCUAUAAAUGAGAUAAAACCCUCAAAUAAAACAACACUUUGUAGGCUAUUAAUUAAUUAAUUAGCUUUACGUGUUGAUUUAGUUGAGAGGAAUACUAAAUGAUGCAAUGUUCUUAUUCCUCUUAAUCAUUUCUUCAUGUGAGAACACAAUUCACAUGCAUGGGAAUAAGCUCAACACAAGUUUGGGCACAAAGUGUGUGAGCCAUAGUUUUUUUUUUUUUUUUCCUUCCUAUUUUUUAAUUCUUUUCAUAGGCUAUUGUAUCUGCUAUAGUUUUUUUUCGAGAGAGAGAGAGAGAGAGAGAGAUAGGUAGCACGCUAUCCGUUUCGUUUAUUUUAUUUAGAAAUAAACUUAGCUGAAAAUGUGAAUCAACUAGAAUUCGAACUUAGGACCUCGAAUACCAACCACCAAGUCCUUUACCACUUGCUGCUAUAGUUGGUACUGAUGUCUUAAAUAGUGUGGGUGGGUUCCGUGCCCUUAUUUAGAUGCUUGAAUAACUUAUUCAGUAUCUACCAACCGUCCCUAGAGCAAGUGGCAAAGGAUUUGGUGGUUGGUAUCCGAGACCCAAGUUCGAAUUCUAGUUGAUUCAUAUUUCUAACUAAGUUUAUUUCUAAAUGAAAUAAACGGAGCGGGUAGCGUGCUACCUAUUUCUCAAAAAAAAAAAACUUAUUCAGUAUCUUAAAUAGUGUGGGUGGGUUCCGUGCCCUUAUUUAGAUGCUUGAAUAACUUAUUCAGUAUAUCUUGUUAAUACAUUUUUUAGGUUUCAAUUUAUAACUUGUACGAUUCUGUUUCAGAUUAAAUUUAUUUAGCAAAAUAAAUUUAAAAAAUAAAAAAGAAUAGCAAGUUAUUAGCAAAAUAAAACCAAAAAUGAAAAUGCCAAAAUAAAUAAAAUAAAAUUGUUGGUACCUUUUAAAUUUGAAUUUAUAACUUGUGAUUCGGCUGCAGAUUAAAUUUAUUUAGCAAAAUAAAAAAUAGCAAACUAAAUUAGGUAUUAAAUUUGAAUUAUUAUCAUUUGUGAUUCUGUUAGAGAUUAAGUUUAUUUAGCAAAAUAAAUUCAAAAUUAAAGAACAGCAAACUAAAAUUGAAAAGAAAAAUUAUUUAGCAAAAUAAAUUCAAAAAUAAAGAACAGCAAACUAAAAUUGAAAAGAAAAAUUAUUUAGCAAAAUAAAUUCAAAAAUAAAGAGCAGCAAACUAAAUUUGGGGAAAAAAAUAUUUAACAAAAUAAAUUCAAAAAUAAAAAAUAGCAAACUAAAAUUGAAAAAAAUAUUUAGAAAAAAAAUUCAAAAAUAAAAAAUUAGCAAAGUGAAAUUGGAAAAAAAAAAUUACUUAGCAAAAUAAAUUCAAAAAUAAAAAAUAGCAAACUAAAAUUGAAAAUAAAAAAUCCGACCUGCCGGAUUCGAACCAGCGACCUAAGGAUUUAUCUGCAAACACUACAGUCCUCCGCUCUACCAACUGAGCUAAGGUCGGUUUUGAUUUAAUUUUACUUAUUUAAUUCUAUAUAUUAAAUAAUAUUGUUAAUUAAUUAGGAUUCCUAAAACAUGGAUUUAGGGCUUUUCUCAUCUAGGUUUUUAGUAAGAUAAAAAGAUAUGUUUAAAGUACCUAAGGUAUGAACUAUUUUCAGUACCGGCCAAGAAAUUAGUAAACUGGGAUUUUUUUUUUUUUUUUUAGAGAUAGGUAGCACGCUACCCGCUUCGUUUAUUUCAUUUAGAAAUAAACUUAGUUGAAAAUAUGAAUCAAUUAGGAUUCGAACUUGGAACCUCGGGUACCAACCAUCAAGCACUUUGCCGCUUGCUUUAGGGACGGUCGGUGUAAACUGGGAAUUUUGAUGGACUUGUUUUGAGAAAUGAAAACAAAAAAGUUUCAAGUGCUUGUGAGAGGGAUUUUACAGGUAAAUUUGUAAAAAAGGAAAAUUGUGCUUAUCAUGUAGCAGGUCUUCACUAGAGAGCCUUUCACUACAAUCACUGAUCACAUAACAAACUGGGAGACCAUAAACAUUUGCAUGUUGAGUUGCACACUUAAAUGUUCACAUGGUAUCAGAACCUCUCUAGUUUGAUACAGAAAAAUAAAUGUUCACAUGGUAUCAGAACCUGUCGACGCACUUAAUUCAAUAUACAUGUGGAAACCUGUUGAAGAUAUCGAAUCUAGACUUGUUUAACAGCUUCCAUGUUCCAGAAGCAGGGUGAAGUAGCGCGGGGCGAAAUAAACACCAUGUUUGGGAAACCGUAUAGUUCGCUGUAACUUCCUUACUCUCGAAACUAACUGAAUAUGCUUUCUUCGUGCUAUAAUGGGAAGCUUUGUAGUUUGUAUGUAGUGUUGACUGAGGAUAUAUAUUGCAGUUUCUAAAUCCGCCCUCUUCAGAGUUGAGUCUGGGGCAUUAAAUAAUAUGACUUUUCCCAAUAUGAUCUUGACGAGCUCUACGAACCUAUUCAGACACAGUUUGACAUCUGCGAAUGCUUCAACAGGAACCUUCUCUCUCCUCUUAUCUCUUCUUUUUAACCUAAAGACAAUGAAGGUCGAUUGUGAAAGCGAGCCAGUGAAGCCUCUCAUGGAAGCAAAAUAAUUUAAUGAGUAGAUGAUAAGAUCGCAAUCAACAGUAAUAGAUCAUUUUUGCGAGCUAUUCUCUGAUGCAGUUGAGCAUAUAAUGAUCAAAAACAAGAAAAUGUUGUUGGGUCACGAAGACGAAGGUUUCAUUGAGGAUAACAACAGUUGACUAAUCUACAAGAGGAACAUUUGGCAGCUGUGAAUAUGAUAUGAAAAGCUUCCCUUGAUCAAAGUAUGAACAAAAGAUAGUUUACAAUAAAUCCUGUAUCAACGCAGAUGAGUUGAACCGGGCAUUUUCGUAAAUUUUCUUACGAAAAAAAAAAUAGUCAAGGACAUAGAAAUAUAGAAAAAAAAAAAAAACUUGCAUUGUAAUAACCAAAAGGAAAAAGCUUACACUUGAUAAGAGAGGCUGUUUGACUAAUCUUUCCAGGUUAAGCUAAGAGACCACAAAUUCCUGCAAAAAAAAAAAAAAAUUGUAGCUCUCUUUGGUUUAAAGUAAAUCCACAAGGAGAAGACAGAAUUUUAAGAUGUGUGGUAUAAUGAGAUAAAAACCUGUGCAAACAUAGCAAAUUAGGGUUUAUCCUCACAUAGGAAAUAACCUUCAGUUGGAGCAAUCUUGGCCCACCUGCAUGAGCAUUUGUUGAUUACAGUGCGCUACAAUUUAACUUUAUACUAAAUCCAAUAUAACUACAACUUCUAAAAGAAAUCUAAGAAGCAUAAGAAAUAGGCUUGAACUAGAGAAGCACAUAUACAUUCUCAUGAAGCUUAUAAUUAAUUAUGAGUGAACUAAGUUCAACCAGCAUAACAAACAAAAGAACAGGAAUCCUCAGACAUAUAUAUAUAUAUAUAUAUAUAUAUAUAUAUAUAUAUAUAUAGAAUUGGGCUCUUAUGCUUUUAAAAGUACCAAAUUAUUAGUGCUUGUAGAUUUUUGGCCAUUGGAUUAAGAGAUGUGCGGUUAGGAUGAUGUGGACCUCCUAGGGUUGAGUAGGUAGUUGGUUGAAUAGUAUAAUCUAACCGAUGAAAAUGAUCAAAGGUGUGAUCUAAUGAUAGAAAACUCGAUAAUAUCAAGAGUUGAGUGCUUUUACAAGCACCGUAGCCGGACUCUCUCUCUCUCUCUCUCUCUCUCUCUCUAUAUAUAUAUAUACAUAUAUAAAGCAGCUUGAAAUACUUGCUCAAAGAUGUAGCACCUAGGAAGAAAGUAGUCAACGCGGUUAUCCAUAGGAGUUGCAGGUAACAUGUCAUCUAUGAACUUCUCCCUUAACAACAUAUUGGCUUAUAGUUAAAUGUCGCACUGACCUGUUAUUGUUAUCAAAAUAGUGGGUCGCCCAUAUUUAAUCCAGGGAAAUGAUCAUUCAAGCAAAAAAUUUAUAGUUAUCACAAUAUCUAACAACAUACUGACCAUUCCUAUUUAGAGGUAUCGUGAUGUUUUAUGGGGAAAAAAAAAAGAUUACUAGUGUCUGGCUUCCACAUAACCUUUAGUUCAGGAUUCUUUGGGUCGUAAGAUUUACUGCUAUUAAAAGGAUGAAUGAUGACUCAUAAAAAGGCCUUGACAAACCCUAUCAAUAAAAUUCCAAAUAGAUUAUACAAACCAAAUAGCAGACUAUAUUAAGCUAGCUGUUUUUUAACCACUAUCGCUUCAUUACACUCAUCUAUUGGAGAUGCAGUUUGAAGAAUCAAUACCGUAAAAUGUGAAGCAUUCAAAGAAAGCUUACCCAUCAUAUCAGCACAUAAAACUGAAAGCUGCAUCACCAGUUGUCUUCGCAAGAGCAUAAUCCAUGCUUUAUUUCAUGAAACCUAAUUCCAUCCCUUACAGUAAUCUCCCUAUUAAAAAUCUUCGAUAGGAGCUUAAAAGAUGAAUGGCAAUCCGAGCACAUACGAAGAUUCGUAACAAUUUUUACUGGUUCCUCAGCACCUAAGUUUAUCAACCCAAAUGCUAAAGCGACCUUCUCACUGUGAUAAGGAACUAAACUACCCUUUUUAUCCUUACCGACAUUGUAAAGUAUUUGUUCAGUAACCGUAUCAUAUCCUGUAAAACUCAAUCUCCUCGAAAUUUCUUCAAGCAUUAUACUUAUCUCUUUGGCCUGAGGGUGUGAAUUCAUAUUUGCUGAGAAUUGGUGCACUGUCCCAUCCCAUUCGACAUAGCUGUAGCCAGUUCGCCUACCAUUAUGUCUGUAAUUUAUAAUAUCUCUCAACUUUUGAGCAUAAUCCCGUCGCUUGACAUCAGAAAAUAGGUCAGAUAAAAGAAAAUCUCUCUCCUUAUAAUUACAGUCGAGUUGAAGAAGUUGUUCUUUCGCAAGUUCUCCAAUCUCAGCAUUCCUAUGGAUUCUACAUGAACGCAACAGAGCUGACCAGAUCACUGAGUUUGCUUUAAUUGGCAUCUUCUCGAUAAAACUGCGUGCCUCAUUCAACAACCCAACUUGCCCAAAGAGAUCAACCAUGCAUCCAUAAUGUUCAAUCUGUGGUUUAAGUCCAUACUUCACCAUGGAAUCAAACAAUUUCGUGCCCUCUGAAACCAAGCCACUGUGACUGCAGGCACAUAAAACACCUACAAACGUGAUCUCGUCAGGAACAAACCCUAGUGAUUCCAUUUCACCAAAUACUGCAAUUGCUUUCUCACCAAGUCCAUGUUGAGCGAGUCCCGAAAUAAUCGCGUUGAAUAGCUCUACUGUUUUUAAUCUGUAAUCAACUUUGUAAAAUAUAUCUAAAGCUUCUUGUAUGCACCCACACUUGGCAUAUAUAUCCACAAUUGCGGUAAUUAUUCUGGGGUUUCUAUUAAGCAACCCAUCGUCUUCUACGUAACCGUGAAGCUUCUUCCCCAAAUCAAGGGCACCCAAUUGAGCACAUGCUGAAAGCACAGUAACCAUGGUCACUUCAUCAGGUCUAAGUCCUUCCUUCUCCAUCUCCAUAAAAAUUUCCAAUGCUUCCCUGUACUUUCCUGAUCGAGCGCAGCCACUAAUUAACGCUGUCCAAGCUAUCAAAUCCUUUUGAGGCAUUUCACUAAACAGUUUACGGGCAGUACCAAUGUCCCCACAUCUAGCAUAACCGGAAACCAAAGAACUCCAUGCCUUGACAUCCGCACUAUCGCCCAUCAUGCGAAACGCUUGAUUGGCCAAUCUCAUCAUCCCACAUCUAGAGUACAUGUCGACAAGUGCGGUAACUAUAUAAUUACUGAAUUUGUCAGAUCCUAUAGUUUUAUAAGCUAGCAAAUGAACCAUCUUCCCAGUUCUAGCAUCACCCAAUUCCGAACAGAGAGAAAGCACGGAGGCGAAUGUAGAGCUAUCCGGCUUAGAAUCUGAAUCCAGCAUCUGCUUAAAAACACUCAGGCCAUUAACCGCUUCACCAGCUUUAGCAUACCCAUCCAUCAUAGUAUUAAACGAUACAGCAUCCCGUUGAGAACACGCAUCAAACACCUUGCGUGAACACGGCAUAUCACCAAACGAAGAGUACAGAUGCAUAAGCGAGUUCAUAACGUAAGUAUCCGAAUGAAACCCACAUUUCACAACGUGGCAAUGAACCCCAAAACCCACAUCGGGGCUGGGAAGCUUCGCGCAGGCGUUGACUAUGAAGGUGAAGGUGAAGUUGUUGGCGAUCAAAGGAGCGCCGUUGGAGACCAUGGACUUGUAGAGGAGCACGGAUUCGCGAGGGGACUGGGCGCGGGAGUGGGCGCGGAUCAUGGCGUUGUAGGCGAAGGCGUUGGGGCGAGGGAGGUGGGAGAAGAGGAGGCGAGCGUGGACGAGGUCGGGGGGGUCGGAGAGGGCGAAGAAGGAGACGAGCAUGGAGAGGAGGCGGCGGCGGCGGCGGAGGAGACCGCGGAGGAGGAGCUGCGCUGUAACCUGGAGAGCGUGGUGGGGGUUGAGAAUGGAGGCUAGGGUUUUUUGGUGGGUUUCGUGUAGCAUAGCUCGGAUUCGGAAGAGGAGGAGAGGUGGGGAGUUGGGCGACGAGGGGGAGCGGCGGAGGAAGGUGACGACGAUGAGGGUGAGUGCUUUAAGAAGUCGUCGUUUCGAGACGUUUCGGCGCCGAGUUUCUCUGAAGUGGGAAACAUUUCGGCAGAGUUUGCUGUUUCGGCACCGGCUUUACAGUUUGGAGAGCAUUUUAGGCCUUUGUUGGCUCCAUAGCCAAAAAUAGUUGCUACCAUAACAGCUGCACUACAUACAAUAUCUUCUAAAUUAUUUAUUACAACAUAUCGGAGGACAAAGAAUUUAAUUAAUUUCAUAGUGAAACAAUAUUUUUUCAAAAAAAUAUUAUUAUAUGUAUUUCUAAUGUGCUUUAAUUGAAUAUUAUUAUUCUCAAAUAGAAUAAUUGCCAUAUAUAAAACUUUCUCAACAUGGAUACACCACUAUUUGGUAAACAGUUAUUUAAAUAAUUUUAUUAGAAAACUGAUAUAUUAUAAUAUUUUCUACAGUAAAAUUGGAAAUAUUAAAUUAAUGCUUUUGGUUCUUAGGGUUAGAAAUUUAUAUUUAUUUUGAGCUACAGUAUAAGCUUCAAAUAUUUUUUUUUAAUGCUAACAAAAUUAUUUCUAUAUGUACCCGCUUUGAUGCUCAUAGCUUUUGAACAUCAACAAUAUUUCAUGAACAGAUUGUAUUGUUAUUUUUAUUGAUCAACUUUAUAUCUUAGCUCAUGUGUGGUCUUUAUUAUAAAGUAUAAAAUUAAUAGGUGAAAUAUCAUUUGAAUUGUAUUAUUGUAUUAAUCUUUUCUACUGGGCAAACUCUCUACUGAAGAUAUUAUUAUUGAAAAUAAAAGUAGAAAAGAAGCUAAAUAGACACAUGGACUUUAAUUAGCAAUUUCACCACAUGUAGCAAUUGCACUUUUGCCACAAUAAUCAAAGCCAAACUCUAUAUCAUUUUGAACUAAAAAGCUAGCAAUCUCGAACACAAAGUCGGCACUAGGGUCCCACUCGUCGACGAAUUGAAAAUACGAGAAAGGCAAACUCCAACCAGCUACUACGUCGCCGUAUUUGCCACAAUAUAAACUCGGCAAAAGGAGCAGACUGGCCACCGACUUUCAUUCUGAAGCGACUCGGAUAUUUCAACAUUACCGUACUCUUCCUCCCGCGCUAUUCAAGCGAUCCUUCGUGGGGGGGAGCUCACCUCUCUCAGGAGGAGGGAGACGACACGAAGCAAGGGCGAGUCUCCUCUCCACACUUCGCUCUCGAUCCGCCAUGGAAGGAGCACCCCUCUUCAGCUGGGAGCUCGAUGCUGUAGGAGGCGGCGCCGGUAAGUUUCACCUCUUCCCCCUUCUCUCGAUGCUGUUGUAAUGGUUAGGGUUAGGAUUUUGUUCCCUUGGUUGCUUGAUGAGGACAAUGAUGGUGUUGAUUAGAUCUAGUGAUUUUGGUAGGAGAAAACCCGAAAUUCGGGAGAAAUAAGAAGAAGGGUUUGAUCGGGAGUAAGAGUAGGAGGCAGACGCUCUCGGACAUCACGAACACAGGGAGGAACCAAGAAAACCCUAACACGACGAUCUAUCCCGAUUCCAAGGAUCUGAUCGAGCUAACGAAGGUUUUAAAGCAUUUUAAUCCUUAUGUUCAAACAUUACCGAAUUCCCUUUCUAAUGCCUAAAAGGAGUGCCCUAUUCUUUUGGCUCGCCGAAUCCCAGGGAAAAAGUGAGCUACUGAAGCUUCUCGGAGAGAGAAAGUAUGCGCAUUCAUGGAGUAGAUUUCCCUUAAUUUUAGGUCAAAAGUUGAGUUUUUGUUAACUGGAUUGGGUGGGUGAUGAUCUUUGUUUAUAGUAAGACUUUCGAAGAGAGCAAUAGUGAGUUGCAGAAGCUUCGUGUCGCGUUGCACAAAGCCAAUCAGCAAAAUAGGGAACUUGCUCAGGCCAACUCUCGGAUGCUAAUGGUGCUUUUCUUUGUCCUUCUCCCUCCUCUUAUAUCUUACUUUUUGUCGAUAAGGAAAAAAAAAGGGAAAAUUCUUAUCUUUCUCUUGCUUUGAUCUUCAGGAGCUCAACUCGGGGAAAGAUAGAGUGAGUCCAAUCUAUUUUUAACUGGCCUAUUAGUUUGGUGGUGCUUUCUUUCGCCUAUUCAGGUGAUUUAGUUGUUGGCUAUGAAUGGACUUUUGGCUCGACAGGAGCUUUUGUACAAGUUCUAUUUGGUAGGACUAUUUAGCAAACCCUAAUCAUUAUAAUUCUUCAAAUAGCUUAAGUUGCAGCUAGAAGAAGAAGCUUCAUAUGCAAGCUUCUCAGCUAGAAUCUCUGAUUUUUUUGGUUUGUUGAAGUGCCGAGUUUGUGCUUCUUGAGUUUGGAAACUGUUACACAAGCUGUGGGGGAAAGAGCUGUGAAAGCAGUUCCUGGCUUUAGUAGCGCCAGAGUUUUCUUUUGUGUGUGAUUGCACUCGUGCUUGUCAACUUGAAUCUGAAUUCUCAUAAUUUGGUCAUUUGUGGGUAUACAGCUCAAAGAAUUGCAGCAUGAGCUUGGAUGCACAACAGCAGUCCUCAGAACGAAGACUUUGGAAAUGGAGGUAUGAGAUUAUCAGGUAGUUUAUAAGUAUUCCUAUUUAUACUGUGCUGAGAGUUUUUUCCUAUUUUUCCGAUUAAUUUUAGGAGAAGGACAAGUUGAUUAAAGAACUAAGUAAGAAGAUUGGGUUCGAGGUAUCUAUGAAAGCAAAUUUAAUAUAUAUGCAUCUGUAGUUACUCUAUGGCCUCUAUUUUCCUCUUUGCUGAUAAUACUUCUCUUUUUCACUGCCUAAAUGCUAAUGCCGGGCAUGCUAAGAUUGUUGCUGAUGCACCUCACCCGGCUAGUGCUCAUAAGAAACGCAAACCCAAUAGGAAGCACACAUUAGAAAAUCAAGGUAAUUUUUUUGCCCUCAACAUUCAUGAAUUGUAGUCAUUGUUUCUGCAAAUACCUGUCAAUAGUUCGUCUUUAUUCGUUUUGGGUCAUGUAUUUAACUUCUUCUGUACUGCAUUGUUCCAUGAAGCAGCACUGCAGGGAAAGGAUCACAGAAGGUAAUGGCUAGCUUUGAGAUGCCACCACUACUAUUUGUGACUGAAUAAAUUGCAUCGAAGGUCCUCAAACUUCUAGUAUAGUUUCAGUUUCGUCCUCACAAUAGAGUCCUUAAACUUUGCCUUCAUAAGUAUCCAAGUACUCGCCAUGAAACCACCAAGCAACUUUGGACUUCUCAUUUGGCAGCUAUGUAGACGUUCCUGCUAAAUUUAGGGAAUUUAUAAGAGAGUGCUAAAAUCGGGGACCCAAUUGUGAAAAUUGAGGGCCGGUUACCAAAUGAAAACCUUAUAAGGUACAAUUUAUCCCUUUCAUAAUAUAAGCAAUAAUCGAGUAAUCACUCUCGUUUAUGUUCAAUCAGGAGGUCCUUAAGAAGGAGAUCUAUCAAAUUGACAUCUGAAUCAUCUGAACCUUCUGAAGACUCCUUUGAGAUUGAGGAUACCAAGAUUUCAGUUUGCUCACUUACCGGCAAAGCCUCCGAUGAAAACUCCUCUUUUCAGCUUGAAAAUUCCACCCCUGGUUCAAGUGCUUUUCACGAACAAAUGAAGAAUGAAUCAAACAGUGAUUAUUCAAGUGGGUCUUUGAAAUCUUGCAUUCAGGAAUUGAAGAUAUCUUCAAAUGGAAGGCCUAUGCGGAGGGCAGCUGAGAAGGUUCCUUCCUACAAAGAACUCCCUCUGAAUGUCAAGAUGCGACGGCCUUGAGCGGGUUUUCAAAACUUAGCAGAAUGUUACUAAAACACAGUUCAGCGCGCCAUCUGAGAGAUGGUCAUCUCACUCUGUAAGUGCAUGUUUUUUUGGUGUAAUCAAACUUUUUCUGUAUAGUUACUGUAGUCUUGGUUCUGCAAGCUUAUAUCUGUGAUGCGGAGUAUCUCCCUAUAGAUGCUGUAUGUAAAUGUUUUUGAAGGUGUAUUCAUUUCGAAGGCUGCGGUGGAACUGUAGGAGGAGCUGCAUUUCUAACUUUGUGGUGCAUUUUAUCUUACUGCAAUUUGCUAUAAAACUUAUCAUUCGCCUUCACAUUUAGGUUUGCCAUCUCUACCAUGCCAACAAGAUUGUCUAGGCUUUGAAAAGUCAUUUCUGGGGUGCAAACCGGAUUUUCGAGGCCCAAGCCCGGAUUACCCAACCCAGGGUAGCUUCUUGGGCCCAAAGCGUGGCGCCACAAUAGUUCUAUAUAAAAUGAAAAAGAAAAUCUUUAAUAUCAGUAACUGGACUUUAACAUUUUGGGUUUGUGUUGAGUCUGAUGAGUUGUUAGUGUUAGUGAGUUGGAUCAUUAUACUUAGUGUUAAAAUCGAUUUAUUCGUCGAAAAUAUAAGAUAAAUUUCACAUUGCUUGGAUUGAACCUGACGAGAACAAUAUGGUCUCAACAGGAGCCCCAGAUGGAAAAAGUAUUGGGUUUAAGUAUUUUGGACCAGUAAUUUGUGAGUUACUAACGAAUUGUUAUGAAUAAUGGGCUGGAUCACUACACAAAGCCCGGCCCAUUAACGGCCCAUAGUGCUGGAGAAAAGGGUGCCGAAUCCAGAUUCCGGGCGUAGUCGGUUGUCAACGCAAAACGGCAAAAGGCAGAGGAAAGAUUCUGGUAACCCGAACCUCCACGGUCCCCCUUCACAACAAAACAAAACCAGCGGAAUGGACGUGCUAAAUAAUGCCCCCAUUUUUCAUUUUUCAUUUUUUAUUUUUUUUUUUAAAAAGAAAUUCGUUAACUCUGCUUAUCAUCUUAUCUCUCGUUCGUUAAUUACUGCCCCGCAGUAUCAGCCACCUCCCUCUCACUCCUCUCGAUUUACUCCUCACACCUACUCACGUUGAGAGAGAGAGAGAGAGAGAGGGAGAGAGAGCAUUAAUGGCGUCGAUUAAUCUCUCCUCCUCUCCUAUACUCCGAAUCCCCUAUCUUCCUAACCAAUACCACCGAAAUAGGCCAUUUCCCUUCACCCUCCCCUCUUCUUCUUCUCCUCUCUCUGUGGAGGCGACCGAUUCGAGCCACUCUAGAAGCUUCCGCCGCUCGCGGCGGUGCGCCGCGUCGUCCUCCUCCUCCAACGGGCGCGGCCCCGAGGACGACGCCGCGAAGGAGGUCGAGAGGCUUCGAGAAGAGAAGCGCCGCGCCGAGCUCGCCGCGCGCAUCGCCUCAGGCGAGUUCACCGUCCAGCAACCCGGGUUCUCUUCUCCUCUCUCCUCUUUUUUUUUUUUUUGUGCCCUAAUUGACUAUUCUAGUAGUCGUUACUGAUGCUUCUACUCCCUUCUACUUCUCGUUCUUCUUCUCAAUAGAAGAUGGGCUUCGUCCGUGCGGAAGCUCUUGGUGGGGCUCGUCUUGAGAUGGGCCAGCGAUUUUGGCCCCACGGAAGGUCCCGAGAUCCCGCAGGCGAAGGGGUCGAUUCAAGCUGUUGGGGGGCAAGCCUUUUUUCUCCCCCUCUAUGAUCUUUUCCUCAGUUAUGGAGGUAUCUUUCGCCUCAUCCUUGGUCCCAAGGUAAGUAAUUACGAAUCUAUUUUAAUUUCUAUCUUCUAAUUGUGGUGGAAACAUGUUAAAUUUUGCAAUUUUGGCAAAUGGGUAGUGUUAAAAUUUUGAUUUUUACUCCUUUUUUUUAACCAGUCUUUUGUGAUUGUCUCGGAUCCGGCCAUAGCGAAGCACAUUUUAAGGGAGAAUUCUAAAGCUUACUCCAAGGUUUUGACUCUUUAUCUUCAUGUGUAGUUGACAUUUUAUUUACUUGUUAUUGAACUCGAGAGUAAAGAAGAGCAGUGUAGUAUGGUUAAGUUGGUAUUGGUGAUUGCAGGGCAUAUUAGCGGAGAUUCUGGAUUUUGUGAUGGGAAAGGGUUUGAUCCCAGCUGAUGGUGAGAUUUGGCGUGUUAGGAGGCGUGCAAUUGUUCCGGCAUUGCAUCAGAAGGUAAUAAAUUUUGAAAAUUGGGGAUUAAUGAGUAUUUGUCUUUGAUGAUUAGAGUGUAAUAUUGUGGGUUCCAUGAAUUUACUCAUUUGAUUUCAUCAAACAGUAUGUGGCUGCCAUGAUUGGCCUCUUCGGAGAAGCUUCAAAUAAGCUCUGCGAAAAGUUAGAUGCAGCGGCAUCAGAUGGAGAGGAUGUGGAGAUGGAAUCUCUGUUUUCUCGUUUGACUUUGGAUAUCAUCGGCAAGGCGGUUUUUAAUUAUGAAUUCGAUUCAUUAACACACGACAACGGGAUUGUUGAGGUCUUUGUUCAGCUACUUGUUUUCACAUUUUGGAAUUGCCUUUUCUUUUCCUUCAUUGCUUGAUCUUUUUUGCUUUAUUAUGCCUUCUUCCUCCAUGUUUCGAUCAGGCGGUAUACACUGUCCUGCGAGAAGCAGAACUUCGGAGUACUUCUCCAAUACCAACUUGGGAAAUUCCGAUAUGGAAAGAUAUAUCCCCUCGGCAGAACAAGGUUAAAGCAGCUCUUAAGUUGGUCAAUGAUACCCUCACUGAUCUAAUUUCUAUUUGCAAGGUAAACAAUCUGUUCCCAUAAGAUAAUGGAUUUGGAAUUCAUUCCUCAAACAAAACAGUAGUUGAUUCAGAAGUUGAAUAUCUUUGUUUUUGCACAGAUUAUAUAAUAUCACAGAAUUAGUCAAUUUUGACAUUUUCUUCAUAACCGUAGAGAAUGGUAGAGCAAGAAGAGCUGCAAUUUCACGAGGAAUACAUGAAUGAGCAAGAUCCUAGUAUUCUUCACUUCCUGUUGGCAUCUGGAGAUGAUGUACUAUUUCAGCCCUUCACUUGUGAACUUAUUGAAACUUUUUGCAUAUUUCUGAGGAAAAGAAAAUAAUGGUUUUGCAACUCAUACUAAGUCUUACUAAUCUCUUCCUCUUGUUAGGUUUCUAGCAAGCAGCUCCGAGAUGAUCUGAUGACGUUGCUCAUAGCUGGCCAUGAGACAUCUGCAGCAGUACUGACGUGGACCUUUUAUCUUCUUUCUAAGGUAUGUACAGUGUGGUUCGCUAGUGAUUAAAUAUAGUAUUCCAUGCUUGUUUCCUGAAGCAUUCUACAGAUUUGACUUCUUUCAUGCAGUUGAAUAUGCAUUAUUAUUGUCUGCUAUUUAUGUUCUUUGAUUGGUAUUAUGUAGGAACCGAGAGUUAUGGCCAAACUUCAAGAUGAGGUAAUUUAAGUUUUACUGCAUGAUAAAACUUUCAGCACAUGACAUUUGUCCACGCUUAGAAUGAACAAAAUCAUAUGAUGCUAUUUCUUUUUUGAGAUCCUCAGGUUGAUACCGUUUUGGGCGAUCGCCUCCCAACAAUAGAGGACAUGAAGAAACUCAAAUAUACAACUCGUGUGAUCAAUGAAGUAAGAACUCAUAUGUGAAUUGCUGUAAUUGACUAGAUAAGUGAUUAUCAGGUAUUAUACAUUCUUUUUCCUCUUUCUUCUUUGUUGCAGUCAUUGAGACUUUACCCUCAGCCACCAGUCUUGAUUCGUCGGUCACUUGACAAUGAUGUUCUUGGGAAGUACCCCAUUAAAAGGUAACGGUUUCUCAUGCACAUUCAUGAUCUUUUGGGCUAUUUUGAGUAUUAUUUUGUGAUUUUAUUAUCUGAUGGUUUAAGAUACGAGGUUCUAUUUCAAAUGGUAGGGAUGAAGAUAUAUUCAUUUCAGUAUGGAACCUCCACCGGUGUCCUAAGCAUUGGGAUGAUCCUGAGAGUUUCAAUCCUGAAAGAUGGCCUCUAGAUGGACCAUCACCUAAUGAGAUAAAUCAAAAUUUCAGGUACACAUUCUUAUCUAGAACCAAAUCUACUUAAGAUAGACACCCGAAAAUUAUAUUUGGAAUAUGUGCCACCAAGCCUGAGCCUAAGCCCAAUUUGAUGAAAAAUAGAGCCAUUCCUGUCUGCAUUUUUCUGUUGUGAGAUCCAGAUUUAUUCAUGAUAAAUACGCUUGGGCUGUGAACAUUAUCUUUUUUGCUUGUUUUCACUGCAAAACCACACUGAAUCCUUUAGGUGAAGUAAUUAAACAAAUGAAUUCUUAAGCAAUAUUAGAUAUUUUUCUGGCAAGUUUACGCAAAUAUUCGUUAUAUAAGUUAAUGAUGUUAACAUUGAAUGUCGCAGCUACUUACCGUUUGGUGGUGGGCCAAGGAAGUGUGUUGGGGACAUGUUCGCUACUUUCGAGGUAGUCUUCUUUUGAGAUUUCUGGUAAUUUUGUAUGUGUGCAGAUAACAGAUAGAUGCAUUUUGACCAAAACGUUGGGAUAUAAGAUUACCAAAAAUUACUCUACUAAUGGAAUAUAAAUACAAAUCGUAUGAGACAAUAUGGACUUUUGUGUUCACCUAAUUGGCAUGUAAUCAUCAAGAUUUUUUUUUUAUGCUUUAGACCGUCACAGCAACUGCGAUGCUUGUGAGACAAUUCAACUUUCAAAUGGCCCUAGAUGCACCCCCUGUAAGUCUUCCAGCUUUUCCUAAAAGCUCAUUUAAUUAAGCCAUUUGGCAACUCCAAAACAAAGCAUUUUCUAAUAUUAGAAAGAAAAUCAAAUUCAUGUUUGCAGGUGGAGAUGACAACAGGGGCCACCAUCCACACAACUGAAGGCUUAAAAAUGACUGUUACGCGAAGGACACGACCUCCCAUAAUCCCAAACUUGGAGAGUAAAGUAGUCAAUGUUAAUUCUGUUCCCACAGUUGUUUCAGAAGGGGACCAACAAGGUGAAGUCUCUACAACAGCUCAUAUUUGAUUAAUAGCAACCCUACAGUGUUAUUCAAAUACACUUUGAUUCAACGGUGUGGAACAAGUGUUUUUUUUCCCCCAAUUUUUUUCCCCAAUUGUUGAUCUAUCUUUCGCAUGCUGGUCAGUGUAAGCUGUCUUAGUUAUUUUUCCUACACCAUGUAGUGCUGUAAAUAUCAGAUAAACAAAUUUGUAAGCCAGAUUUGUGGCUGUCUCCUCUGUAUCAACUGGCUCUUAACAGUAUCUUAAAUUCUCUGUUCAAGUGGAACUAUUUUAGGUUGGUUAUCAUGUGACAUGUUUAAUAAUUGCUUUUGCACCUCGUUCCAUCUACUAACCCACUUGAAUAACUUGUUUUGAGAAAACAACACUUUAAGCAGAGGAUGUGUAUUCCAUGAAGACAUGCCAUCUAUCGUCGAACCACAGGUUUGUUGCACUAGCAGAAGAGAAUGUUUUAUUUGUUUUUAGCUCCUGAUUUACAGAUCUCGAGUUUUGGCUGUCCAACCGUACUUUGUACAUAUUUACAGAUAUACAGUGCAGUUUCGAACGGCAGUCCGGUAACUACACCAGCAAGGCUUCAAGCCCUCGCAGAACAUCGGUGCGCGUAACUAUACCUGCUUAGCACAGAUGAACUUGUUAGAUUCUCAAUGUUAGGCCUUCAAUAUUAAUUGCCUGUUAGUCCUGAUCUAUAGAACUACUCCAACUUCAGAAGCAACAGCAGCUAGGCUGUUGGCAAAUAAAAGUAUCUUAAUGUUUUUGCUGUAGAAGAAAGCUGAAAUCGAGUUUUCGGAGUUGGAAAGUAAAAAACUUUAAGUUUGAAACAUUUAUUUCUAAUACUAAGGCAAGUCGAGAGAUUUUGAUGAAAAAACUAUUGGCCAAGUAACGUCAUAAUAACAAGUUUGAUCUCUGUAUACAUACACAAACUCACCUAUGACUUGGUUUGAUUUUGAUGAAAAAACUAUUGGCCAAGUAACGUCAUAAUAACAAGUUUGAUCUCUGUAUCCAUACACAAACUCACCUAUGACUUGGUUUUUAUCAUUUACUAUUGGUAUCCUAUGGAUCUUCCUCUUGAGCAUUAGAGCUGCAGCAUCUGCAUACAUAACACAUAAAGUUCUUUCAAAACCAUUGUCAAAAACUACUGUAAAUUGUCACAUGAAGCAAACAUGCAAAAAAUUACCCGUGACAGUUUUCUCAGCAGGUAAAGUGAUUACAGGAGUUGUCAUCAUCUCACCAAUUCUUGUUCUCAACUGUUUAACAAAUGAAAGUAUGUAAGUGACCUUCCUUCAGUUUUGUGUGUGUGUGUGUGUGUGUGUGUGUGUGUGUGUGUGUGAGAGAGAGAGAGAGAGAGAGAGAGAGAGAGAGAGAGCAAACCCCAUUUGAGGCUUUAGCCUUGUCUUUCUUGGAGAUGAUUCCAACACAUUGCAGCUCGCCGUCGACCACCGGAAUCCCCGAGAUGCAGUCGAAGUGAUGGUUGAUCUCCUCAAGUGUCUGCUCCGCCUUAGCCGUCCAUACCGGACUCGACAUGACCGAACUAAGAACCGCCAACCGCCGCGACUGCCCAUGAAAACAAGAUCACAAUUACGAAGGAAUUCGAGAGAUCACAAACGAGUAAGAAAGAGAUCAAAGGGCACCUGAUCAUUCUCACUUGGGGCCUGGGACUCGAGAUAGACUCGGAGGUCAUCGUAGCUGAGGAGGGAGAAGUUCUCCGGCCAUUCGCCCGAGAUAAUUCCCUCCGGAUUCUCGUCGAGCUCCAGCCGAAUACUCCCGGUCGGAAACGCCGACGCUCGGCUCUUUACCGAUGUUUUGGUACGCGAGUGCGGCGUCGCGGAGCUCGGGUUGCUAGGGUUGUACUGAUUGAAAUUAAACGAGGGGGAGGUGGAUCUUGCACAAGGGAAAUGGAAUGUGGUGGUGCACGCCAUUUUUUGGGGGGAAGGUUCAGUUUGCAUGUCGCUCGUAGUGGCGAAUGAGAAUAUAUAGACACACAUUAUUUUUGAUGAACCGGGUCUACGUUUUCAAAUGGUGGGCCCUGGGUUUGAUCUUUGAGUUAAACGACCACGACUGGUAGCAUAGGUGUUGCAAUUAUUUUCGUCGUAACAUGCCCUGACGUGGACACCUGGCACGUCCUGAUUGGGUGGCGUGAUUCUUCAUGGCCCCCACCCCCCAUGGGGGUGUGAGUGGAUAAGGUUUGAGAACAAAGUGUAUGCAUAUCCACAGUUAGAAUAGAAGCUGGAAAAUAAUGCUAGAGCCAAGUCUGAGACUGUGAGUGGAUGGUGAAGUAGCGUUUUGGCUUUGAGCAUGCGCAGCAGAGCCAGUUGAACUUGCCCACUUAAUUGUUUACUGUUCAGUAUUCCGGCGGCUACCUAUCGAAACAGGCGGCUGAAAGGAAAAAAAUAUCGUUUAUGAUCAAUAACUGGACUAUCGUGAACUAAGACCUACAAAAAGUUAUUAUUCCGUGUCUCAACAUCAGCUGGUCAUCCAUCACAUUUCAUACACAAGUUAUGUAAUUUCUAUGCGGCAUUAAUUUUGUUUUAAAAUUUUUUUUAAUAAAACAAAUUGGAUGGUGAUUAGGCCCAGAUCCGAAAUACAUAUGCAUCUAUUUGGGCCUACCCUUGGCCCAAACAGAAGUGUAGUAGUAAUAAUGGGCUGUUGGGCUCUGAGCCUUUGUGCCGUGUUUAAAAAUACUCGGGCCGUGUUAGAGCCCCAACACUACUUAUCGUUCACACGAAAAUGCGAAUCUCUCUCUCUCUCUCUCUCUCUCUCUCUCUCUAUUCCUCUCGACGCCUCUGUCGCUCUCUUCUUCUUCUUCCUCUCCACCACCACCUCCACCUCCUCAAGCUUAUCCAUGGCCACCGCCGCCAUUGGAGCCCACCUCCUCCCCCUUUUCCCUCGCCCUAGCCGCGUCCUCUUCGGCCACCGAUCCUUCGCCGCCACCCCCAUCCCCGCCCAUCGCGCGUCGCCAUUAACGCAGCUUCGGAGGAGUUGGCCCUCCAAAUCUAAUCCCUCCUCGCGCUUCUCCCCUGUUGUUGCCUCCCAAUCCAACUUCUUCAGAGGUUCGCUUCACUUGCCCCCAAUUUCGUUCCAUCUAUUCCUCUAAUUCGUUUGCUUCAGUAGGAAUAUGGUUUUAGGAUGGGGCUUUUUUAUAGUGUCUUUUGUGUUUGGUUAGUGACCUUGUAAGAGAUUAUUGGUUCAGAACAAAGGGGAUCGGUUUGAUCCAAACAUUUAAACCUUGCUUAAAUGUUUGGUGUUUGAGCAAAAUAAUGGUACUAAUAUAAUCUCUUUAGCUAUGUAGUUCUUCACAUUUUUGUAUCAAAAUGGACAUGGCGGAUUGCGAAAGGCCAUUUUGUUUCAAUUGGAUUAAAACUAAUUGAAGGACUUGGAUGUGUGUGUGUGUGUGUGUGUGUGUGUGUGUGAGAGAGAGAGAGAGAGAGAGAGAGAGAGAGAGAGAGAGAGAGGUGUUUAGAAAACACGCAUCUUAAGAGUGAUGAAAUUUAGUGUGACUCACGAUGUUAAGUACUACUUAUUAUUCAGAUUUCAAAUAUAAAGCUACCUCUUUGUUGAUUUAUUAGCUUUGUAAGCUUAUCUCACAGUUUUGGUGAUCUUCUUUCUAAAACUUGUUUCAUUUGUCUUUUAAGGCAAUUAGUGCCACCCAUUUCCGCCGUCUAACUUGCGCUUCAAUAUUUCGUUAGUUGUUCGGGCAGCAUGGAGGGUCAGUAAGGAUGUAAUCGAGGCAGGAACCAGUUUUGUGCCUGUACGUUUUUGCUUCCGAAUUCCCACUUUCCGUUGCGUAUUUAGCACCUACUUUUGGUCAAGAAUUUGUUUCUGUUUCAAAAGCACUUGCAAUGAGUUUUACGCACUUGCGCUUUUGUGGCAGGCUGCAGUUCCAAGACCAGUAGCCAGGGUUAGUGUUGCUGUUGUUGCAGUAACCGUUGCCCUCUUUCUACUAAAAUCGUUCCUCUCCACCGCGUUCUUCGUAUUGGUAUGUACUCUUAUCAUAAAUUCCUGAGAAUUGUAAUGGAUUAUGUCAAGGAUAUCAUGCAGCUCUGUUCAAUAUUAGUUGUAAUUCUGGAACUCUUUCAUUUGAAUCGGAGAACUGUUAUGCCUAAUUUCUGAAACAUUUACAAGUGUGUAGCACUUCCUCAUUGAGUAAUCCCUCUGUGAAAAUAAGCAUUUUACUGGUCUUUAACCUUUUAAAUCGGCUUCAUAGACUUUUUCUACUUUAAUUUUUGUAUAAUAACAAGUGACUUCGAGUAGUAAUUAAUGACCACGCUUAUGACUCAUGUUCAAUGUCAACAUUUUUCUCCCUAAAUGUUUACGUAAUUUGCGAUGUGAGCCCCGAACUAUUGCAUACCAAAGAGCUACUUUUGAGUGUUGAUACUUUUGUAGGUUUUUAGGUUGGAGACAUGAUAUUCUUAGUUAAUACUUUGCGGAGAGAUGACUUUUUUUAAUUUUUGGGACCAACAGGCUAUGAUGGCACUCAUAUAUUUCGUCUUCGUCGCAUUCAACACUGAUGAGGUCUCGGGAGGUAGUGGUGGAAGUGAGAGCACAACAUCAACCGAAGAAACCUUGGAAGAAGCUCGGCGUAUAAUGGAGAAAUACAAGUAAAUUUGUUAUAACUUAAUACCAAUUUUAUCGUAUUUUAUUUUUCUUAUCUGUUGUACUUGUAUUCGGCAAUUUGGUAGAGAGUAAGUCUAUAGGCGUAUAGUUGUAAAUGAACAUAUGGAGAAUGGAAAGAUAACCACCUUUUCAUCUUAUCCUCUUUUGUUGUUAAUGUGUGCUUUCUAGUGUUUUAUUAUUGAAUUUAUUAACAGGGCUUCUCUUUUAUUCAAUCAUCCAAGCUAAAUGUAAGUAGAGGCUUCUGCAUGACCCACAUAUUUUUAAGUUCGCGAAGUUGGUCGUGUUUUUGUUAUUUAAAAGAUUGAAUUGAAUAGCAUAAGAUGAAAGAUUAAUGUUGGGAGAGACGAGUACGGGGCAUUCAUGGCAACACAAUGCAUAUGAGUUCUAUGAAGUUGUAUGGAAAUUCUCUUCCAUCACUCAAUUUGAGGAAUAAUUAGAAUUCGCAAGCUUUGAAACUUAAUGCCUUUCAACAUGCAUAACAUGUCUCCCAUAGGGUUGAUACAAACAUAGUUCCUAGCUGCUUCGCUCCUGUGAAGGAGAUUAUAUGCAGAUUUUAUUAGUAAAGCCUUCUUCUAAAGUAACUAUCGUAUCGAUAGCUUUGCGUCGCAUAUUCAACCUAUCUAUUCAUCUAAACUGAUGAUGCAACGAAGGCCUUCGCCGUUGAUCAUGUAGUCAAAUGCCUUGUUGAUAUCUGAGAACGGCAGUCUAUGAGUGAUGAACUUCUCCACUUCCAGUUGCUGCAGACGCAAGAGAGAAAGAAACUCUUUGUGGUCAGCCGACACGAAAAUCACAAAACGAGAAGGCACUAACACUAAAAAACACCCCCACCUUCUUCAUGUACAUAUCGACAACUUUGGGGAGAUCUGUUCGAGGCUUGUAGUUUCCAAAGAAGGUUCCUUUCAGAGUCCUCUCGUUCAGGAAAUUUAUCGGCUUAGUCUUGAACGAGUCAUCUUUGCUGGGCACUCCGACAAGUACAGCAACACCCCAACCCUGCAUAUUUUAGGUAUCUCACAUUAAUUAGCCUGUAAUUCAAAGAGAAGAUUUUCGUAAGCCCAAUGAAAUAAAAAGCUUAGAACUCUGGUUGAGAACUAGAUAUCAGGCAAACAAAAAGUCUAGAGUUCUUGUUGGAGCGGAAAGGUGAAAUGAGCUUUCGAACGCUUAAAAGCAGAAGCUCAAUUUUGAAGUUUCUGAUGCUAUUUUCAGCGGAAAGCUCUUAUAGAAACCAAGUAGAGAGUUAGUGAUUCUUCUUUAAACUAUCCAUUUUGCAGAAGCAGCAGGCGAGAAACAAAACACUAGCCAAGUUACAUACAUCAUGAACACAUUCAAAAGCAGAUAUCAUUGCAUUGAUGUUGCCCGUGCACUCGAUACUCCUGUCAACUCCGCCAUUGGUCAUCUCUGCAAUGACCUGUCCAAAGAAUAGAUGUUACUAGAAGUGGAGAACCUACUUAUGAAUAUGUUGCGGUACACAUUAAACAAGAACAAACCUCUUGCACAGGUUUGCCAUGAUCCUUUGGAUUGACGAAAUCCGUGACACCAAAUUUCUUGGCUGAAACCAUAGUAGAAGACUUAGAAGGAUAUUUAGCAUAAGGAAGAAGAUCUAAAUAAAGAGUGGUUAUAAUAAAAGUAGUCAACACACCUUCGCUGAAUCUGUUGGGAUUCAAAUCAACACCGAUGAUUCUAGAUGCUCCAGCAAUUCUUGCACCUUCCGCAGCCUAUAUAGUAGCAGCACAUAUAACAUUCAGGAACGGAACCUACGAUUGUAAUACUCGAGAACAUUAUAUGGAGAUAUUAGGUACUGUUUCAAUCAAACUUACUGCAAGACCCACAGCUCCCAGCCCAAAUACCGCGACUGUCGAGCCCUUCUUUGGUUUAGCAACAUUCAGAGUAGCCCCCAAACCUGAACAAUACAAAGAAUAUACGAAUGUACUCUACUAAGAAUAGGGCAUUCAUCAGUAAUCGUGCUCAUUUUAUUGUCCUUAUUAAAGCGUCGCUCGAUCGACAGGUAAAUGAUUUGUUCCCUUAAGAUUGGGAUUUUUUGCACACAUACCCCCUCAGUACACAUGUUUUCGCACAUAUACCUCAACUAAACCUUGGAUCAACAAAGCUACCCUCAGUAUAAUCGAUACCGCACAUACUGAUGAAAGGGCAAAAAAGUAUGGAUUGGGGCAAUGUAGAGACCUGUUGAUAUGCCGCAGCUGAGAACGCAGACUUUGUCGAGCGGAGCGGAGGGGUCGAUCUUGGCGAGGCAGCCGGAGUGGAUGACUGUGUAUUCACUGAAGGUGGAUGUGCCAAGAAAGUGAUAUAUGGGACUCCCGUUCUUGAAGAACCGUGCAUUGCCGUCGCUAAGCAUCACGCCCCGAUCGGUGUUGAUUCUAAGAAGGUCGCACAUGUUGCUCUCCUCCGACUUGCAGUGCGCGCACUCCUUGCAUUCUCCGGUGAAGACGGGAAGUACGUGAUCUCCCUUUUUAAGAUCCGUCACGCCUUCACCGACACUCUCCACAAUUCUGUGAUUGGAAUUAACAAAACACGAUACCGAAAAACCGUGGGAGAUAAAAAUUCGUGAAGGAUCCUUCGACAUCUCGACGAUGAGUUGUAAAAUAGAUCAUGAACAGCGUAAAAUGAAUGAAACAGGACAAGCCAGAGAGUUCAUGUGAAGAGUGAACAUACCCUGCUGCUUCAUGGCCGAAUAUGCGCGGAAAUAGUGGAUUUUGCCCCUGAAUAUCAUUCAAUGAUAAAUUCAAUAGAGAAAACGGAAUUGACUGAAAUGCUAGGUUAACCAAAUAAGAAAUUAGCACAAUCGUGGGGAUCGAAAUAAAUGAGUUCAGAAUUAACUCCGAUACUAUGUUACCCACAAGAUCUAAAAAGAGUUGGGGAAUAUAUUUAACAUUCCCACUCACACGUAUGGACAAAUUUAAUCAAAUAGAUGUUAAAGGUAUGGAUCAAACUAGAAUCAGCUCUGAUACAAUGUUUUGUCUCGAAACUAAGAUCUUGUUUAUAUAUCAGAAUAAUAAUAAUAAUAAUCUGGUAGGAUAGUAUAUUUCACUUGCGCGUAACAUCUAGGAAUCAUAAUAGAGAAUCAUGGUGAAAAAUAAAAGAGAAUAUCAGUAAAUAAGAAAUUUGUGGGAACCUUGGCUUCCCAGAAGUAGAGAUCGGUGUGGCAGAGGGAGGUGUACUUGAUCUUCACCCUCACCUCCAUCGCCUGCGGCGGCGCCACCUCCACCCGCUCUAUCACCAGCGGCUUCCCCGCCUCCCACGCCACCGCCGCUAAUAAACAAAAAUUAUUCACCAUUCCAAAAAUUCACCACCCCCCCAAAAAAAAACAAAAAACAAAAAAACAACCCCACUAAAUUAUUCGGUUAAACAAACAAAAAAGAGCUACAAAAAAAAAAAAAAAAAUAUACCCUUGCAGGGAAUAACACGUCCAGCAGUGGCCGCCAUGGCUGGCUAUUUUCGGAGUCUCCUUCAAUGGCGAUGAAACGAAGGUCGAGGAGAGAGUGGAAAAAAAAAAAGAAAAAAAAAAAAGGGAGUGUGGAGGGGAAGGGUGGUGGUAUUUUUUUUGAUCGAUGGGCGUAGUUUUGGUCGAGUAAUUCGUUCGUGGUUUUGUUAUGCUUUUUAUUAAUUAAUUAAUUUUGCUUUUUGAUCCGUGAAACCUUGUGUUGAGUCUAAUCACAGUGUAUACGACUAUAAUACGGUUGGGAUGGGAAAAUGAGACGUGGUGACUCACCAAAUGUUUGGCCCGAGUUGUUUUCUUGGCGUGGGCCCCACCAAUACGUGAUGCUAUUAUUAUUUUUACUUUUACAAAAUUAAGCAACAUUUCAAUUGGCUUUAACUUAAAAAAUCGAUUUUGGAAGAGACCGAGAUCAUUUGGUUAGAUGUAAUUAUAAAUUCAGUACAGUUAGAAAUACAUACAGUUAAAAAUAUAGCAGUUGUAAUUAUAUAUAUUAUAUUUAGUUGGAUGUAAUAGAAAGCGCUGUAAUUAUAAAUAAUUUAUUUAGUUACAUGUAGUUGAAAAAUAAUUUUUAAAAUUUUAUCAUUUUAUAUAUAUGAUGAUGAGAUUAGUUUCAAAAUAAAAAAUUUUAUUUUUUACUUAAAAAAAUAAUUAAGAAGAUAAGCAUACCAUUUACUCUCUUCAAUUAUUACAAUUGAAAUUACGGCUAAUUUAAGCUUAGUUCAAAUUACUGCAGUUGGAUCUUCUGCUGCAAUUUACUGCAGUUGAAUCUUCUUCUGCAAUUCUUACUGCAGCAUUUGAAGUUAAAUAUAUCAAACCAAACACGCAAGAUAAUUUAAGAAUAAUACGAGCUCAUGGAGUUCGAUUUUUAUGCCUCAAAACAUGCAGAGCAUGUUAUUGCUCAUAGAGUGAGUACAAAAUUACAAACAUAGUUCCAGAUUUGCUUCACUCCCGUAAAGGGAGAUUAUAUGCAGAUUUUAUUGGUAAGCACUUCUAAAGUAACUCUCGUAACGGAGUAACGAUUACUUUUUGCGCCGUAUAUUCGGCACAUCUAUUCUUCCAAACUGAUGAUGCAGCGAAUGCUUUGGCCCUUGACCAUGCAGUCGAAUGCCUUGUUGAUCUCCGAGAACGGCACUCUGUGAGUGAUGAACUUCUCCACUUCCAGUUUCUGCGGACGCAAAAGAAACAAGAUCGGGGACUCUUCACGGUCGGUUCAACACGAAAAUCGCUAGAUGAGAAACCACUAACACUUUAAAGACACCCACCUUCUUCAUGUACAAAUCGACGACUUUGGGCAGGUCCGUUCGCGGCUUGUAGUUCCCGAAGAAGGUUCCUUUCAGAGUCCUCUCGUUCAGGAUAUUUAUCGGCUUCGUCUUGAACGAGUCGUCCUUGUGGGGCACUCCGACGAGCACAGCAACACCCCAACCCUGUAUAUUUUCAGAGCUUCUUGUUAGAGUGAAAAGCUGACAUAAACUUCUCAGAGCUGUUCGUUGCUUUGCUCUAGAGAAACUUCAAGUGAAGCGAGAAACAAAAAGACUAGAAUUAUCAAUUACGUACAUCGUGAACACAUUCAAAAGCAGAAAUCAUGCAACCGAUGUUGCCCGUGCACUCGAUGCUCCUGUCAACUCCGCCGUUGGUCAUCUCUGCAAUGACCUGUCCAGAGAAUAGAAGUCACGAGAAGCGGAAACCCUACAUACAUCAAUCGAUCAAUAUUAGGUAACCACACUUAUCGAUCGAGAAUAAACCUCUUGAACAGGUUUGUCGUAAUCCUUCGGAUUGACGAAUUCAGUGACACCAAACUUCUUGGCUGAUAUCACAGUAAAAGAAGAAUUACAGGGAUUUUAGGUGAAUUGAUGUGCACAUAACAAAGAAUGCGAGAUAUUCAAUUACCUUCCUCGAAUCUGCUGGGAAUCAAAUCGACACCGAUAAUUCUAGAUGCUCCGGCUAUUCUCGCACCUUCUGCAGCCUAAAUGGUAACGAUAAAACUAACAUUCAGAAAUUGAAUCGAGGGCCGCGAACUACAAAUGAUAGAUGAAGAUCUUAGGUUCUGUUUCUAUCCAACUCACUGCAAGGCCGACAGCUCCGAGCCCGAACACCGCAACCGUCGAGCCCUUCUUCGGUCUAGCAACAUUCAGAGUAGCCCCCAAGCCUGACAACAGAAAGUGUUACAUCAACUCAAUUCCGAUCAAGCGCAGCAUCAAAUAAUCUGUCUCGUUAGGAUCUUGAAUGUUGAGCCGGUGUCGAGACCUGUUGAUAUGCCGCAGCUGAGAACGCAGACUUUGUCGAGAGGAGCGUAGGGGUCGAUCUUGGCGAGGCAGCCGGAGUGGACGACUGUGUACUCGCUGAAGGUGGAUGUGCCCAGAAAGUGAUAUAUGGGAGUGCCCUUCUUGGAGAACCGCGCGUUUCCGUCGCUGAGCAUCACGCCACGCUCGGUGUUGAUUCUAAGAAUGUCGCACAUGUUGCUCUCCUCCGACUUGCAGUGCGCGCAGUCCUUACAUUCUCCGGUGAAGACGGGAAGUACGUGAUCUCCCUCUUUAAGUUCCGUCACGCCUUCGCCGACACUCUCCACGAUUCUGGGAAUUGGAAUCAACAUAAAACGAUACCGAAAAACUAUUAAAUAGAUCAUGACCGGAGAAAAAGAAAAUGAAUGAAUCAGGGAGAAGUCGGAGAAUUCAUGUGAAAAAUGAACACACCCUGCCGCUUCGUGGCCGAAUAUGCGGGGAAAUAAUGGACUUUCACCCUGAAAAAUCAUUCAACUACGAAUUCAAUAGAGCAGGAUUAUGGAUUUUGAUAAAAUGUUAGGAGAAAGCGAGAAACAAUUAAUCUGAUUUGAUGCAGUGCAGAUGACUGAUAACAACAUUUUCCCAAAUGGUUCAUGGGAGGAGAUGCAUCAUCACGUGUUCUCCUAAUUUGUGGAACGACUCUUCUCACACAGACAAAUAGCGUGAUUUAUAAUAUAUUAUGUGACACAGCAUAGAGAAUGGUGUUUUUGUUAUUUAUAUUAAACACUUUUUUUUUUUCGCUUACUAAAUUUGAAUAAAAUGGGAGAAUAUUAAAUAAUACUUAAAAUCUGGUGAAACUCGAACUCAUGAUUUCUUACUUUAAUAUCAUAUUAAAUUAGCCGAUAGUUUACACUUUACUUUUUUGUAGUUAAAAACAUAAAUUUAACAUAAAUUUAAGUGUUAUGACAUGAAAUUGCUGUGCGUAUCGGACUGUGUAGAUUAAUGAUGUGCCAAUACAUAAUGUCAUGAAUUAUUUAUUUUUUUUAGCAACAAAAUUUUUUAAUUGCUUAUUAUAUAUCUUUAUCAAAUCUUUUAAGUUUUACUGAGAAAAUUAAUUGUCAAAUUUUUAAAAAAAUGAGCUAUACUAUUGACACGGGACAGUAUUAUGUCGAUAUCUUAUUAGCACGACAAAACUGCACAGUGGAUACAGUUCGUGUUGAUGGACAUUUAAAUUCUUGGUUUAUGAAAUUUAUCACUUUACUACUACGACAUCUAGCGAUAAGUUCUAACGGUUGAACAAAAAUACAAAUCAUAAAAUAACGAAAUAAAACUUUUCAACGACAAAUCAAAAAUACGCGCGAAAUGGUAAGUAAAGUUUACCCGAAAAAUAAAACCAUCUCCAAAGAGAAAAAAAAUAGCAAAGAGCAGUAGUACAUGCCUUGGCUUCCCAGAAAUGGAGGUCCGUAUGGCAGAGGGCGGUGAACUUAAUCUUCACCCUCACCUCCGUCGCCUGCGGCGGCGCCACCUCCACCUCCUCUAUCACCAGCGGCUUCCCCGCCUCCCACGCCACCGCCGCUAAUAAACAAAAAUCAUUUACGAAAAGGGUAAAUUAUUCGAUUAAACAUAUAAAAUAAAAUAUAUUACAAUGAUGAUGAUGAUGAUGAUGAUACCCUUGCAGGUGAUAACACGUCCAGCGGUUGGCGACAUGGUUGUAAAGAAGGUCGAGAUGGGGUGCGGAAUUAAUGGAGGAUGCUUGGAGAGGUGAAGCAGAGGAGGGUGUGGAGCAAAAGAGAAGCAAAAGAGAAGAUUAAUGGAGAGUGGUAGUAUUUUGAAUAGAUGGGAGAGGAGAGUACUCGUAGCUUUACUGACUCUCUCUCUUGCAUUUAUAGGAUUCUGACGUGGCUCGAACUCAUAAACUCCUGAUCAAAUACCAUAUGAAAUAAUUAUUGUACGAUAAAAUUUUAUAUUUAUAUAUUUUUAUAUUUAAUAUUUUUCAACAAAAUCUCCUUGAGGAGUCUUUACUUCGCUACCAUGCAUCGGUUUUAAUUAUAUUCAAAAACUAUAAUUUUCUCCUCCAAAAUUUAAAUCAAAAAUUUUAAAUUUUAAUGUUGAAAAAACUCAAUAAAUAUUUUUAAUAAAGAUAAACUGAUACGUUACAGUAAAUUAUAAUUUUGUAAAUAUAAUCCUCUAACUUUGCACUGAAAUUUUAUCUGUAUUUAUCAUACUCUUUUAUUUAUUUAAUUUCGCAUUUCUUGGGCGGUUGGGGACUUGGGGUGGAGCUGCCAAGUGUGGAGACUCUUUUUCGUCGCACACCGCACGUGUAAUGCAACGUUAGCAGUUUGCUGAACAAAAAAAACAUUAAAUUACUUUUAGGGGAGAGAGAUGGUGAAACUAUUUUGUCUUUUUUUUAAUAUAAGGUAAUUAAAAUUUUGAAAAUUUUAUGUUUUUUUUUCUAUGUGAUUGAAGGAUAGUAGUUUGAUUUUGAUAAUUUAGAAGGUCCUGACAUUUGUGAUUUAAAAGAAUAAUAAUAGAGUUAUCAAUUUUAAAGAUUUGAAUAAGUAAUUUGAUGAUAUUAUUUUAUAUGAUGAGAAUUUUUUUGUGACGUAAAAGUUUAAUUUGUGGUCGAUAAAAAUUUUAGCAUUCAUAGUUUGCUAGAAUAGUGCAUUACACAUAUAAGUUAUUACGUUCUAAUAUUUGACUAUAUUCUUUUAACCUCUAAUAACAUUACAAAAUCUCCAUUUAUUUCAAAAUCUAAACAUGUAGGAUCUAAAUCAAAUAUGUAGCACAACCAGCUAAGAACUCGAUUAUUGGUAUACUUGUGUUAAAUAUAAAAAUGUUUAAACACCGUUCUCUAACCGCUUAAAUUUCGGUUGUUUCACAUGGUAUCAAAAUAGCAGGUCCUGAGUUCGAGUUAUACCAGACUCCUAGCAUAUUAAUUUUCUCCCAUUUAAUUCAAACCCACGUCAUGAGCCAACAAAAAAAUUUCCGAGCCCAGAUGUGAGGGAGAAUGUUAAAUAUAAAAAUAUAUAAACACCGUUCUCUAAUAGCUUAAGCUUUUAGAAUGCAAUGAUUGUUACACAUGGUAUCAGAGAAGAAGGUCCUGAGUACGAGUCACGCCAGGCUCCUAGCAUAUUAAUUUCUCUCAUUUAAUUCGAGCUCAUGUCAUGGAUCGACUAAAAAAAUUUUUGAGCCCAGACGUAAGGAGGGGUGUUAAAUAUUAAAAAAACCAUAUUCAAACUUAUCUAAAGUUAGUAUUGUUUUUGUGAUUAUGAUUAAUGAUGAAUGGCGCAUGUCACGUAGGAGACGAUCGCACCAAAUUUUUGAUCGUUUCGUUUGGACGGUCCGAUCAUCCUUGAUACGUGUCCUUCUCUCCCUCGGGAGUGCAAGAGCUGGCUCGGGCGCGUGGACCAGUUGGAUUAAAAACUUUAUACUUUUUAUUAUUUUAACAUAAGCCCAUCGACACGUAACAGUUGAACCCGAGAACCGCUCCCAUAGUUUUCGAAAUAUGUAAUAACACUUUUUGAGUUGCCUACCAGGGUUUCUAACACUACUACAGAUCCAACCAAAAUUUCAUCCUUUUACAUUAGUAUUACAUUGUAUAAAUAACUUAUUUACCUCACUUCUACACGUCGUGCUUCAAUAGCAUUAAUUUUUAAGAAAAAGUUAAAAUGUACCGAGGCUGAAAAUAUAAGACCAUCAGAUUUUGAAUUUAAAAUCUCGAAUACCAACUAUCGAGUUUUUUACCAUCUGUGGUCAUAUGUUUCGGAUGCUUGGAAUGCCUUCUCUUUACUACUACAAAAUAUUUUUACGCCUCCCACUUACUGUCCCAUUAGAGAAUAGAAUUGGUUCGAAAUAAAACCCGGAAAAAAAAUUCAGAUUCAUUUGCAGAUUCAUUUGCAUCCUUAGUGCUCACGGCCUCGCCCCAAAUUUCCUUGGGCCACGGUGACGAUGGGUCUCAAAGCGCUGUUUAUUUAUCUUUAUUUGGCCCAACCCAAGUACGUUAAUGGGUAGGGCUUUGAGAGAGUUGAAACCGCAUUGGGCCGCGGCCGACAUUGGACAGCAAACAGGAAAACUUAGAGAACAAACGGGGCGGAUACGGAGGCGUAGGGGUGGCAAUCCAGAUCGCUGCUCGCGAGCCAGCUCGUGUUCGGCUCGAAAUGAGCUCGAGAUCAGCUCGCUCGUUUAGUAAACGAGCCGAACACGAGCUGAAUUUUUCAGCUCGUUUAAUAAACGAGCCGAACACGAGCUUGGGUUAGCUCGCUCGUGUUCGACUCGAUAACAGCUCGAGUACAUAUAUUUUAUAUUUAUAUAAUUUAUUUAAUUUAUAUUUUUAUAUAUAAAUAAUUAAUUAUAUAUAAUAUAUAUUUUUAUUAUUUAAUUUUUAGCAAAAUAAAAAUAUAAAUGCGAGCUUAAUUAUAGAAAGACUUCAUUUAUAUGUAAAGUUUCAACUAUUAGAUCAAAGUCUAAUGUAUAAAAUUUAUAAAAUUUUUUUUUAUACAUAUUUAAUCUAAUUCUUUUUAAUUUAUUGUCGUUGACGUACAGUUCGUGAGCCAGCUCGCUAUCGGCUCGUUUAUUAACAAGCCGAACAUAGACUGAAUUUUUCGACUCGAUAUCUUAACGGCCGGCUCAUGUUCGGCUCAAUUAAUAAACGAGCCGAACACGAGCUCGCUUGUGCGUGUCGCUCGUUUACACCCAUACGGAGGCGGAGAGGAAUCCUACCUGCCAUCCAUUUGGGGAUGGGAAAAAUAAGGGAUUAUUUCCACACCUAUUCCCAAACAAAAAUAAAAAGUGAAUAGCUAUUCCAUCCUUAAAUUUAAAUUUUAAAUUUUAUAUAUUUAUAAUUUAUAAUCUUAGAAUUAAAAUUUUAUAAUUUUAAAUUCUAAAUUUAAAUUAAAAUUUUAAAAUUUUAAAAUUUUAAAUUUGAUAUUUAGAUUUUAAAUUUAGAUUUAAUUUUAAAUUUAAAUUUUGAAUUUUGAAUUUUUUGAAUUGGGAUUUAAAAUUUAAAUUUAUAAAUUAUAUAUUUAAAUUUUUAAUUUUAAAUAUUUAAAUUUAAGUAAUAAUAAUAUAAAGGAUAAUAUUAUUAUUUUUUAUUUAUAACUAUUCAUUAUUCUUUUUAUUUUAUUUUAUCUUUUUAAAUGCUAUUUUUUUAUUUUUUUAAAAUAAUUUAAUUUUUAUCUAAAUAUAAAAUUUGUCUAUUUUAUCUUUAUAUCUAAUUUUUUUUAAUCCCCAAUUUCAUUUGGAAUGGGUCAAAAGUUCAUAACUAAUAAAGAAUCUGUCAAAUGCGGGUACGAACAAUACAAGCGUCAUAAAUGACGGACGUACAUUCCCAAUUUCCGAAGCAACAAAUUAUAGAUGCGGCGCGCUUUUGUAGCGGAUACACGCCAGUGUUCACACUUCACACUCUAUUGUAAGAGGAAUUCUAUACUGUCAUAUUUGUACCACGUCAUCAAUAAUAAGUUAAUUAUAUAUUUUUUUAAAUAAAAGUAUAAUAAAAAUAUUUUUUUAUAAUUAUGAUGGGACAUAUAUCUUUAAAAGUAGAUAUUUGAUUGAUUUGUUACGCCACGUCACUAAUAUAUUCGUUGCAUUCUAGAAUUUUUUCUAUUGUAGAUAUUAGUUUUAACUGAUCAAAACAUACUUGGUGUCCCUGGAGCAAGUGACUAAGGACUUGAUGGUUGAUAUUCGAGACCUAAGUUCGAAUUCUAGUUGAUUCACAUUUCUGGCUAAGUUUAUUUCUAAAUAAAAUAAAUGAAGCGGGUAGCGUGCUAUCUAUCUCUCAAAAAAAAAAAAAAAACAGAUCAAAACAAAUAAAUAAAAUAAAAAUAUAUACUAUAUAAAAAUUAGUAUAUACUAUUAAAUAAGAUGUGCUAAAAUUAUUAUUAUUAUAUUUUGAAAUAGAGUUUGGGUAUAGUAUUUUUUAAAAAUUCAAGCAUUUGAUAUUUGUAAAAUUUUCACUAUUAGAUUUAUUCUUUUAAUUAAUUCUGCCUUUUAUAUCAUGCUAUUCUAUCAAUCAUCCACUCAAUUCUAUCAAUCUAUAAACACCAAUAAGUUGCCUCUUUUAAAGAACCCAAUUUUUAAAGUAAAUAUUAUUUUUUAUCGUGCUUUCUUGCUCUUCUGUCUAGUAAUUUUAAAUUUGAGUUAAGUCUCCAUCUAAUUCUUAUAUAUAUUUUUAAUUAUAAAUAUUUGAGGUAUUUAUACAAAAUUUUUUUCUUUUUCGUAGCAACUAUGUACAUAAGAGAUACUACAAACCACACUUUCUGUGUCAUAUGAGAAAAUAAAUGAUCUAAUUGACCAUUUAUAUAAUAAUAAUUUAAAUAUUUUUUUUUGUUUUUGUAAUUUUGUGAGAUAUGAAAAAACUUGUUAAAUAUUGCGUGUGUAUAUGUAUACUGUAUACAUAGAGAGAGAGGAUAAGUACUCUCCUAUCGUCCCAUGUGAUCAUUUAUUAUCCAUUUAGAUCUCCUCACGGAACCAGUUAUGCGUACAACCGGACUCUGACUAUUUAUGCUGCCUCAUUAUUACAGGCUACUACUUUUGGUGCAUACACACAUCCCACUAAGGUGACACGUGGCUUCAUUUUAUACGCCUUCCUAGCUCCCCGCCAUAUUAUGAGAAAUUUUUGGCUGGACCGGGCUCACCUUCCAACAGUGGACCAUCUAAAAUCACCUUCUACACAUAUGUAGUCCCUUUAAAUCAUCACCGUUUAAAUGGUCGUUUUUCAAUUUUUUAAAAGGAUUAGAAGUUUAGUGGACGGCUGUGGUUCCGACGAAGAACGGUCCAUCGAUGACGUGGUGAAUAUAGUUUAAUGAAAAAUAUCAGUGUAUAAUCAUUGAAAAGCCGAGAAAAGAACCAGCGGGAUAGUUUAUCCGAUGGCGUACACGGUACACGGUACACCCUAUCGUGCGGCCGCAUAAUAAAUAUUUAUGCGUGCGUCUGAGGAUGUAAUCCUCGUAGAGAUAUAUAAACGCCCCAUCAUCGAAUCCCCCGACCAUUUCCGCCCGAGUAAGCGUGUGAAUCUCUUCAUUGUCCAAAUAAUAAUAUCUCCCUCGCCUACGAGGAGAAGCGGCGCGAGAUCGAGAUCGAGAUCUCAGAGGAAUCGCGCGAUGGAGAAGGCGAUCGAGAGGCAAAGGAUCCUCCUCACCCACCUCCUCCCAUCAUCAUCAUCAUCAUCGUCAUCUUCGAUUUCUCCGAGCGAUUCGUCGCUUCUCGCGGUAAUCGAUCGUUUUCUCCUCUCGUUUUCGCUGUUUUUGGCUUGGAUUAGGGUUUGGUUUUUGUUUGAUCGGUCGCCGAGGCUCUGUUCCUGAUUGGUGAUUCCGAUCCUCUGUUUACGGAGAUUAGGCUCGAGUUAUUUAUUUAUUUAUUACGAUUUUUCCCUCUUUUGGUUGUGAAUUGGGUGGUUUAUGAGAGGAUUUGGAUGCUUUCCACAGGCUUCGGUUUGUGCUGCGGGUGAUAGUGCUGCUUACCAGAGGAGUUCUUCGUAUGGAGACGAUGUCGUCGUCGUGGCGUGAGUAACUUUACAUUUUUUAGCAACUUUUGUUUUGAUGGAAAAUUUGGAUCUAACGGGAUCAAUAAUUGAUGUUAACCGUGUGCUUCCUUUGGAAAAUCCAGGAUUAAAUUAGUACAAAUAUGAGGUCCAUGUAAAUCUAAGAAAACUACAAAAAUUUAGAUAUUUGUAGUGGGAGAAAGAUGGUUUUCUCUUUUACGUUUUAGGCCUAUUAUUGAGACUCCACCUUAAAGAAGUGAACGGAUAGCUAACCCGUGUCAUUUUCGGUGUUCACUAUCAAUCAUCAGUUAUGCGAAAAUAUUUGUCUUGUUUGGGACCAAAGCAAAUUCAAGGUUAACAUUGCGGCAAUCAAAUGUACUGGUUUAUCGGGCACUUUUUCUGUUGAAUUCAAUGUCCCUGGGUUUAAGUUUCAGGCGGCUUUUCCAUGGUUCAUGCUUUAAUAUUAAUGCUCUUUUUGUAUUAUAUGUGCUCUGAUGUAUAUAAGAUUUGGCAAACACUUACCUUUUCUUCGUUUAGUUCGUGCUCGUUAUUCUAAUAUCUUAUUGUUAUUAUACUAUCUGUUAUAGCCAUCCAGUAAUAUGAGUUUCUGCUGUUAGCUGAAUCUAUUCAUGGUAAGCUAUAUUCCAUCCUGGUCCUGCUAAUUUGCCCUCUUUUUCCAUUCUGCGGUGCCAGUGCUUACCGAACUCCUAUCUGCAAGUCCAAACGAGGGGGUUUUAAGGAUACAUAUCCUGAGGAUCUUCUAACUGCUGUUCUCAAGGUCCAGACUUUCCUGAUUCGUUUCGUUUCGUUAUAUUUGUUGUCUAUAGAGUUUGUUUACUUCGACUGGUAUGGUUUUGUAAUUUUUUUUUUUUCUAACCAACUUCUCUUGUCCCUUCAAUCUUCGCUUUUAGGCACUUUUGGACAAUACUAAACUGAAUCCAAGUGAUGUUGGUGAUAUUGUGGUUGGCACCGUCUUGGCACCAGGUUCCCAAAGAGCAACAGAGUGCAGGAUGGCAGCUUUUUAUGCUGGUUUUCCAGGUAUAGUGGUUUCUUUUGUUGGUAUAAGCAAAGAACGGCCUGUUAAUUGUAGUACUGAUUGUUUUCCUUUGUCAUGCUAGAAACUGUUCCUGUUAGAACAGUGAACCGCCAAUGUUCAUCUGGUCUUCAGGCAGUUGCUGAUGUUGCUGCUGCCAUAAAAGCUGGUUUCUAUGACAUAGGUGAGAUUUCAGUCUGUUAUUAUCUGCUGUAGUUUCAUGGUUAAUUAUCUAUAAUCUCCUGUACUAUGGUCUUCUAUGCAGGAAUUGGAGCUGGACUAGAAUCAAUGACCAUGAACAGUGUUGCUUGGGAAGGAUCAAUAAAUCCGAAAGUAUGCUUCUCCUUUAGUUUGUCCUUAGAUCCUUAAAGCUAGCCCUGUGUUUUUGUGAUUCGAUAUUGAGUUACCGCUAAACGGAUUCAUCCUUCUUUGUCAGGUUAAUGCAUUCCAAAAAGCACAGGAUUGUCUUCUUCCCAUGGGAAUCACUUCUGAGAAUGUUGCACAUCGGUUUGGUGUGACCAGACAGGAACAAGAUCAGGCUGCUGUGAGUUUCAAGGAUCUUAAUUACUAAGCUUCAUAUUUUGAUGCCUCUUUCGUUCGGAAAUACGUAAAUUUCUUCCUUCACUGAUUGUCAGGUUGAAUCUCAUAAGCGAGCAGCUGCUGCAACCGCUUCCGGUAAAUUUAAAGAUGAGAUAGUUCCAGUGACAACAAAGGUAAAUGACUGAGCCAGAUAGUCUAUAGUGAUUAGAAAACUUUGCAUAAUUAUUAGAUGGGGAGCAAAUAUCCAAUUUAAUAAAAAGUAGGUGGGUGGUUCUGUUAGUUUUGCCACCACGGAAUAAUAGAAGUGAGAAGUGUAGAAACCUCAUUGAUAGCUAUAUAGAUAAUCAAAUAGGAAAAUACAGUUCUUGUAGCAGCUUCUCUAACUUCAAUUGACAUUUUUGGCCUCAUUAAUAGUGUAUGUUUAGGACUUAAAGUUACUAAGUUUGGUAUAAUUGAUAUCUCUUUGCAGAUUAUAGAUCCAAAAACUGGAGAAGAAAAACAAGUUACAAUUUCUGUUGAUGAUGGAAUAAGGCCAGAGACAUCGUUAUCCGGUCUGGCAAAGCUCAAACCAGUAUUUAAGAAGGAUGGGAGCACGACUGCUGGUAUUAUGGCACACUUCUCAUGUUUAUGAAGCUCAGACAUGUACAUUGUCUGUUUCCUUAUAAUAUUUAAUUGUGUAGGCAAUUCUAGUCAAGUAAGCGAUGGUGCUGGAGCAGUCCUCCUCAUGAGGAGAGACGUAGCAAUGAGGAAAGGAUUUCCUAUAUUUGGAGUUUUCAGGUUUUACUCUAUCCUGUCAUAUAUAUCUCUAUAAUCUUAGCAUUAGUAACUAGCGAUGCUUUUUGGUUUUUUGAUAAACAUAAUCCCUUGCAGAGCUGCAUCAGCUAAGUGGUAAAUUUGUUAAGAAUAAAAGUUUUUAGGACCCUGAUCUUAUUGUACUGUUCUUUUUUUCUGAUGUUGUGUGGUUCCAACCUCCAUUACCUUUUCUUUGUAUCAAACAAAUCAUUGUCUUCUUUUGCUGACUAGACAAUUGUGUCACUUUAACAUAACAUUGCAUCAUGUUCCCUUCCAGUUGAAAAGCAUAAGUAAUCCACCCCCACCCCUUGAAAAAACAAAGAAAUAAAAAAAAAAAUUUAAAAAAGAAAACUCCCCGCUAAAAAGGAUAAAAAUUGGGUGUUGGUGGUUGGGAAAUUGCUCCAUUUGCUCAAGAUUACUGGUGUAGAUGAUGGCAUCGUUGAGUUAACUGAAUUGAUGGAGAUCAGGGGAAUAUUUAUAGGAGCUUAUUGGUGUAGCUGAACUAUUUUCUGGCUUAUUCAGGAGCUUUGCUGCCGUUGGAGUGGAUCCUGCUGUUAUGGGCGUUGGUCCUGCUGUCGCAAUUCCUGCUGCAGUAAAAUCUGCAGGUCUUGAAAUUGGAGAUAUUGAUCUUUUUGAAUUAAAUGAGGUAACAUUCGGCUAAUAGUGGUUCUUAUCCUUCUUGUAAUCUUGUUUGUUAUAGUUCUAAAUGUUUCUAUGCAUUUUCUGUAGGCUUUUGCGUCUCAAUUUGUAUUCUGCUGCAAGAAGCUGCAGCUGGAUCCAGCAAAAGUAAAUGUGAAUGGAGGAGCAAUCGCUCUUGGGCAUCCUUUGGGUGCAACAGGUAUUUGCGACUGAUAUAAUGCUUAUUAAGGGUCUUAUAUAUGUGUUCUAAGUGUUAGAAAUUGGGUUGAUUUUUUGAUGCCUUAUACUGUUGUUAAGUUGUUGAUUGGUGCGAUAUGUAAACAAACAUAAAAUUGCUGUGUUGUGGUACUGGGAGAUUUUGCAGUACAGUGCUUUGACUUAAAAAAUGCUAGCCAUAGUUUUAGUAAUGUCCCCAGAAUAAGAAAAAUGAUACGUGGAGAUUCUUAAGCAGAAUUUGCCUUCUUUCAUAAUUGAGGUGCUUCAUUGGUUGUUCUGCCUUUGUUGUAACUUAUUAAUGUGAUAAUUGAAUAUGGUGGCAUUUCCUUCUUAUAGGAGCCCGUUGUGUGGCCACUCUGCUGAACGAAAUGAAGCGUAGAGGAAAGGAUUGCAGAUUUGGUGUUGUCACCAUGUGCAUCGGUCGGUGCUCUCUCUGUCGCUCUCUCACACACAUAUUAGCAUAAUGAUUUUACAUUUUACCCAAUUGUCUCGUGUAAAAUGCAGGAUCUGGAAUGGGGGCUGCAGCAGUUUUCGAAAGAGGUGACGGUGUUGAUGAACUCUCCAAUGCCAAGAAGAUCGAAUCCCAAAAAUGGUUAUCGAAGGAUGCUGUGUAAAGCCCUUCAUUUUAAGUUUUGCAAAAGCGUUUUUAAUAAAAAACCAAACUGAGAAAUUAGGUAAAUUAUGGCUUGGGGCUGAUAUGAAAUAUGUCUAUAAGCCCAUGCGAUGGACUCGAAUAGUACAUGAAUACACCACUCAAGUGACCGAACAAAUAACCUUCGUGAUCUUUACUCAUAUGCAUUUGUUAAGGCACAUGUAGAUGCCUCGAUUCUACUCUUUGUUUAUGCACUGCUCAAGCAUAAAUAGCCAUAAGUUUCUUAUGAAGGUUUGAAUAUACCUUUUUUUUUUUGGUUUGAGAAAUAGUAGCUUGCUACCGUUUCAUUUAUCAAGAGCUUUCUUUUAUAUUACUAUAUACCGUCUGUUGGGUGUCUGUUCUGAUGAGAUUUGAUGAGUUUACACUUGGUUUCAUGAUCUAUAUAUUGCCUCCGAUGUGACUCAGAUUUUCUCUCUAAUGUGAAUGAGGCAUAUGAUGAAUCUUGUUUUUAAUUUUUAAAGGUUUUCGAAGGUGACUUGAGCCAAAAUUUGGGACGUAUGCACGAUGGUCCUUCUGGGAGUGUUCGUCUGAAUGGUAUGGUUUCCGGAACUUCUUCUUUUGGUAGAAUGAAUAAGAUCAGCAAAUGCUAUGUUGUGGAAAGUUUCAACUUUGUGGAAUGUUUGAAAAAAGUUUCCAAGCUUUGAGAGGGUGAUUGAUAACUAGAAAUACUUUUACACUUUUACGGCCAAUUGCCGUGUAUCUUUUUUAGCAAUAUUAACACAAUCCAAAUAUAUAGUCAUAUAGAAAGUCCCAAUGCAUAAAAGCUGGUGCUCUUAGGAAUAUACCAACACAAUCCAGAUUUGGAUCAGGCGUGCGCCAUAAAGAUGGACCAAGUUUAGCCCAUCCUACUCUAACAUUAUAGAGUUUGUUAAGGCCCAACUUUAGCCCAAUAUGGAGGAUUCUAUUGGCCUGGGACAUCUAAUUGGGUACAAUUUGUCCUGGCCCAACCGGUUGAUACCUUCCUUUGUUAGCCACCUAACCGGAAUUUUGUCAAUAAAUUGACAUAGGUAUAUUGAUGAUAAAAUUAAGAAAAUGAUAUCAUAAAUAGGCGGUUCUCAUUGAGACAGUUUAGAAAGCCAUAUAAUUCAUCCCGCACCUUAAUAUUAAAGAUCUGCUCCAACUCAAAAAUUUACCUCUCAUAUCUUACCACCGCAACGCGCGGAUUUAGAAGUGACCAGUAAAUUGAAUAAAGUGUUUUCACUUUGAUAUGUAAGUAUAUAUCAAGCCCAAAAGUUUACUAAUGGCAAUAAUUAAGAAGGAAUCUAUGAAUAGUGUUACUUCUAUGUAUAAAUUUGUUAUGAGGACGGAAACUAAUAUGUCUAGAGCAAUUUUUAAUACAAAAACUUGCUUAGAAUAUAUUAAUUUUAUUGGGGAUUAUCCAUAAAUUCUACAAUUUACCGAUUUCUACGUCAACAAAAGGCAAAACAUAUAGUAAUAUAUUAUCCUUACUUUUAACUUUUUAAAAAUAUAAGUGAGUUUAAGGAUUCUCUAAUAAUAAUAACAAGAACGUGAUCUAUCCCUAGGCACAAAUCAAUAGUCCCCUAAACCUCUUGAUUUGGGCACGUAGCCACUCUAUGCUCCCUAUUUUCAUUGUGUUUGAUGCAGCAUAGCUUAGGCUAUAAGAAGUACAUAUAUUCGUGCGCGCGCGCACACAUACACAUAGACAUAUAUAUAUAUAUAUAUAAAAUAAAAGUGAAGGUGCCCAUUUGAUUUUGACAAAUACAAAUAGAGACCUCAAUUUGAUAAGAGCGAGGGUCCAAUAUAGAGUAGACAAAAAGAAUAUAUUCGAAAUGGACUGGUAACUACUUACUCCCAUGAUUCUCUUUUAUGGUCCAUUUUGUAUGAAAUCGACCUAAUUAAAGCCGAAGCUUCAAAUUAAAGUUUCUACUUCUUUCUAGAAUAUAAAGUUUAUCUCAAAAAGAGAAAAAAAAAAAAAAAACUUUUCGAGUAAGUUUAUUCAAGUUGUGGUUUUGCAAUAACCUCCCAUGGGGGGCUACAUUGGUCCUUACCACAUUUGAGCUCUAUUUAAGCUCAUUUUGCUCCUCUAGGUUAAUAAUAUCAAUGUAAUGAUUUAGCUUGUUAGGUUCUUUUAGUUGGAAAGCACUUCCUAAACAAGCUUAAAUAUCCAGUGUUUUUACUCUGGAAUGGUGAAAUUUAAGAUCCGUUUGAUAUUGAGAGCUAUCUAACAUUUUUAGAUAGAAAAAAAUUGAAGCAAACUUGUACAAAAAUAUUUUUUUACACAUUUUAAUAAAACAGCAAAAGUUAUAUCGUAAUUAAAUCAAAACAAUCUAUACAAUGUAUCUGAAACAAACAAAAUAUUUUUUUCUCGUACUUGCUUCCUGUAACGGAUGCUCAAUUAUAAUACUUAAUUCACGACCUUCUAGAUUCUAAAUUCAAAUCUCGUUAUAUUCCAAAAACAAAAAACAAAAUUGCAC